rnacentral:lncRNA from 1 species
UAAAAUUUUUUUUAUAUAUCUAUUUUUUUUUGGUGGUUAGUUAAUUAACUUUUUAUAUCACUCUCUUAAUUAAAAAAGUUGGUGAGGUGGAAGAAUAUAUUUGAAAAGAUAAAAAGUCAAAAUAUUUUUUUUGUUCUUAAAAAAUUGAUGACGAUAGAAAAGUAUAUUUGAACGGACAAAAUAAUAAUUUUACAGAGAUAACGAUAUAGAAUUUAACCUUAGAAAUAUAUUUGAAAUAACUUGAAAUAUUAAAAUAAUAUUUUUAAUAUUAAACUUCUAAGAGAGGUAAUAAAAUAAUAUCGAGAAUUUUUCAGAAAUAUAUAAACAAUUGCUUCUAAAAUAAAAUAUUAGAAAACCAUAUUAAAAUAGUCUCGAAAUUAUGACCAUGUUCUUGUAAGUGUAUCCUAAUAAUAUCUCACCACUUAAUUUCCAUAAUAAGUAUUAUUAAUUCUUGAACCAAAUUAAUAUUCACUAAUUUGUCACAAUCUCUAAUCACCAUCUACAAUAAUUUAGUGCAAGUAAUUAGUAAAAAGCCAAAAACAAGAUGAGAAUCAAUUGUUCUCAGGAAUCAUAAUUUCCUCCUUUGGGAAAAGAAAAUAAUGAAUUUUUUUUGAAAAAAUGUAUGGAGCCCCAUCAACUACAUUUAAUUUGAAAUAGACCCCUCAACUGUUAUAGGUAUUUAGAAUUUUGUACUUUUAAAUAAAAAAUUAAAAAAUUUUGUUAAAUUUGUUGAUGAUUUUACUGAAUUCAAUCACUUAACUCAACUUUAAACAAAUAAACUAAACCAAUUAACAAUUAGUCCUAAAUAGAGCCAUUAAAUUUAAUUAAAUAUUUAAUGUAGCUAAAUAUAAAAAUAAAUUAAAAAAGCCAUAUAAUUGAGCGGUCUCAAUAUAUUUUUAACUAAAACUUAAUUUUCUCUACUAUUAUUAGGUGCACCGCAAAACUUUUCCUAAUGAGUCAAUAAUUUUUUUUGGCUAAAUUACAGAAAACCCCCCUGUAAUAACCCGCUUUUUCACUUUUCCCCCCUGACAUUUAAAAACCUACACUUUGCCCCCUUGUAAAAUGAAAAAUGUGCACUUCACCCCUACUGUUAGGGUUCCGUUAGGGGUUCUGUUAAAAAAUAUUUUUUUAUACCGAAAAUACCCCUCUGCCUCUUCUCUCAUGCUUCGCUCUCUCCGGCUCGCCGCUUCGCCGCCUCGCCGCCUCGCCGUCCUCCACUGCUUCGCCCUCGCCCACAUCCCUUUCGUCCUCCUCCGCCACCUCGCCUUCGCCCUCGUUGUCCCUACCUACCUCUCCAUCAACACCCAUCUUAAUAUCCUCCCUACUGUCGCCAAAAUCGAUAGGCGGCGACGGUGUAGGAGGAGAAGGGGAGCAGGUGGAGAAGAAAUUGGAGAGGAAUCGUGGCCGAUUGAGGUGAAAAUAGCGGCGGAUCGAAGGGGCGGCUGAGGAAGCUCAGGAAGAAGACAACAAUGGCGAGGGGCAAAAUGAUCAUUUUACACACCGUGACCUUCCUGUGAAUAUUUUUCAUUUUAUAAGGGGGCAAAGUGUAAGUUUUUGAAUGUCAGGGGGGGGAAGUGAAAAAGCGGGUUAUUACAGAGAGGUUUUCUGUAAUUUAGUCAUUUGUACUAGUUAUCUAGUAAUCUCUGAUUUAAUCUGUUGAUUAUAUAGAAAAACUGAUCUAUUAACUAAUAUUUAACAAUAUAUUAUUUAUUUUUAUUUAAAUUAUUGUUAUUUAGGAUAUAGUUGUUGUUGUUAUAUAUAGAACUAGACUGGAAUACUCUCAAUAGCACUAAGCUAUUCGUGCUAUUAAGUUUUCGGCAUUUGGAUGAAAAAAUAUACGGUUAGGAUAAUAUGGAUCUCCUAGGGUUGAGUGAGUUAUUAAUUUAAUAGUAUAAUCUAACAGAUAAAAAUAGUUAAAGAGUUAAAGCUAACAGCGGAAAAUUGAUAGUACCAAACACUUGGUGCUAUCAAUAGUAUCCCAGCCGAACUAUCUUAUUGAUAAAUUAAGAUAUAUAUAAAGUAGAAAAUAGUGAUUAAUUUAUAUUUUUUUAAAGUUAUUUAGAAAUCAAAGAUAUAUAGACCAUUAAAGAGGACACAAAGCAUUUGUCUUUCCCAAAAGAGAAAAUACAUGGCCCCUAUUCAAACAUCAAUAUCUCUCUCAUCCCCUUUACCUUUCUCUUUUUACAGGGCAACAUCCUUUCCCUUUGCAAGGUAUGCUUUUUUUGAAGGGAAAUAAUUACCAGGUAAAAAUGUAUGGAGACCCCCUCAGGUAUAGGAGAUUUUGUAAUGGCCUCCUCAGCUUUUAUUUAUGUUUUAUUAGAAUAUUUUAAACUUCUAAUUGCUUAGAAUUAAGUGAUCUUAGUUCGAAAUUAUGAAAGUUUUGAAAAUUGAUUGCUUGAUUUCAUCAAAUUUGAUGACUUAAUUUUUUAAUUAAUAAAAAGUAAAUAAAUUAAAUAAUUAAUAAUUAAUACAAUUAUAACUUAAAAUAAAAUUUUAAUUUAAUUAUGUAAAAGUUUUAAAUAAAGAAAUAGAAAUUGAGAAAUCUCAAUGAAAAAACAAAAAAUAGUUGAGUGACCAAUUUCAAAACGUUCUAUAGUAGAGGGGAGUCUCCAUGCAUUUUUACCUAAGAAUGGCAUACAUUCACACAUACACACCCAUAGAUUUCUUUUAGCCAAUAUUUUUUUCAUUUUGUAUUUUGUCAAUUUUUUUUAAAAUUUUUAUCAAAUCAUGUUUGGUUGGGGGUUAAGGAGUGGAAUAACCCCUUAACCCCCAUAUUAUUUCCAAACACCUUCAAAAAUGGAUGAGAUUAGCUAAUCCCACCUCAAAUGGACUAUUUCAGAUUAGCUAACCCCACCUAACCCUACCAAAUCCGAACCAAACACUAUUUUCUAUUCAUAAUAACCCACUAUCCUUCUUAUCCCACAUACUCCAACCAAACACUAUUUUUUACUAUUCUGGACUAACUCAACCCCCAACCAGACACAAAAAUACUCUAACUCCACCUUAACCCUGAACUUAACCUUAUCCCUGGAAUAACUAGUUUUUUCUUAACCCCGAACCAAACGGUUAAAAAAGUUAUGUCAACUCUUGAAUGGUCCAUAACUAUAAUAUUAAAUUACAAUUUUGAUUCUUAAAUUUUUUAACUAACAAAAUAAUAAUUUGUAUGUGAAGGUGAGAGUGAUAUAAUAAUAUUAUGAUUAAUAAUACUAUAAUAAUUAAUGUGCCAUAUUACUUGUCCUUAUACACGUCAAUAUUUAGUUAACUGAAUUGAAAUUGUGAUUUGAGCAAAAAUUAUACCCUAUUCGCACAAGUCUUUGCAAAUAUAGUGAAUUACAAAUAUAUUUCUAUAAAAUUCAAUUUUUAUAUAUUGUUUUUACAAAAGUCCUAACAUUUUCAAAUAUGUCCCCGUCGUUAGAAUUCAUUAAAAAAAAUUUAUUAAUCAUAGAUUAAAUACUUAAUUUUGGUUAGUUUAUGAGAUAACUUGACAUUUUUGCCGCUCUUAUAUUACUGUUGUGGUUUUCGAAGGGACAUCUGUAAUAGAAAAAAAUUGACAUUUUACUUAAAAUAUAAACAGUAUUAUAAUGGUAAGAAAUCAAAAGGGCAUAUAUAAAAAUAUUAGAACUUUUGCAGAAACAAUGCAUGAAAGUUGAACUUUAUAGCAGUGUAUUUGUAAUUUAGUAUAUUUGUAAGGACCUGUAUGCAUUUAACCCAUAAUUUUCGAACCAAAACUAUAAUUUUAGUUCGCCAUUUGUACCCUCCAACCAUUAAAUUUUAGAGAGAAAAGAAAAGGAAAAAAAAAAUCAAAAUUUAUUGAUAUAAUAUAUCCCGUAAUCUCUAUCUUGUACCCAUUUUUGUGAGAAGCGAGAGAGAUUGUGAGGUGAAGGAGUACAUCGCAAGCCUCUCCCGCAAUGGUGAAGAAGAAGCUUCCGCUUCACUCCCCCAUUCUCCUUUUCUUUCUCCUCCUCCUCCUCAAACCAAAGCCCACCAUUCCCCCACAAAUCUAAACCCUCCCUCCCUCCCUCCGCAUAAUCGCCAUGAACGCCCGCAUAAACGUCCUUCUCGUCGUCGUCGUCGUCCUCGUGCUGCUGCCUGGGGGUGUAUUAUGCGAGACCGACCCGGGCGACUAUGCGGUGCUUGACGAGUUCCGGAAGCUUCUGGACAACCCGGAGAAGCUGGGGUGGCCGUCGGAGGGAUCCGACCCGUGCGGGCCCCCGCUGUGGCCCCACGUGUACUGCUCCGGCUCGCGCGUGUCCCAGAUCCAGGUCCAGAACAACCGCUUCCGCGGCCCCCUCCCCUCCCUCCGCGGCCUCCCCGUCCUGCAGUUCGCCUUCCUCAACGACAACCUCUUCGACGCCGUCCCCCCGGACUUCCUCGGCGCCCUCCCCGCCCUCCAGGUCCUCUCCCUCGACUACAACCCCCUCAACCUCACCACCGGCGGUUGGUCCCUCCCGCCCGACCUUACGGACUCCUCCGCCCUCGUCAAUCUCACCCUCUCCCGCGCCGGCCUCGUCGGCCCCAUCCCCGACUUCCUCGGCGCCCUGCCGUCCCUCGCCGUCCUCCAGCUCUCCUACAACAAUCUCUCCGGCCCCCUCCCCGCCUCCUUCGCCGGCCUCUCCAGCCUGCACACCCUCUGGCUCAACAACCAGCAGGGCGCCGCCGCCCUCUCCGGCCCCCUCGACGUCCUCCCCUCCAUGACCAUGCUCGCCGACGUCUGGCUCCACGGCAACGCCUUCUCCGGCCCCAUCCCCCCCUCCGUCGGCGCCCUCUCCGCCCUCACCCGCCUCUGGCUCAACAGCAACCGCCUCGUCGGAUUGAUCCCCACCAAUUUGACCUCCCUCCCCGCCCUGCAGUCCCUGCAGCUCGACAACAACAUGCUGGUCGGCCCCAUCCCCGCCGUCCGCUACAACUUCACUUACACCGGCAACUCCUUCUGCUCGUCCACCCCCGGCGCUCCCUGCUCCCCGCAGGUCGCCGCGCUCUUGGAUUUCCUCGGCGGCGUCAACUACCCCUACAGGCUCGCGCAGUCUUGGUCCGGCGACAACCCUUGCUCCGGGAACUGGAUCGGGGUUUCGUGCUCCGGCGGCGGUAAGGUUUCGGUCAUCAAUCUGCCGAAUUUCGGGCUGAACGGCACGAUCAGCCCGUCGUUGGGCGAGUUGGACGGCCUCGUCGAUAUCAAACUCGGCGGAAACAAUCUUACCGGAACCAUUCCCGCGAAUUUAACCUCGCUGAAAUCGCUCGCGACGUUGGAUGUGUCUUCGAAUAAUUUGAAGCCCCCCGUUCCGGCUUUUAGCAGCAGCGUGAAACUCCUUGUCGACGGAAACCCGGCAUUGACCGGUUCGUCUCCGCCUACUAGCGGUUCCCCUCCUUCGCCCGGUUCUCCGGGUAAUGAGAACAAUUCGCCGAAUUCUCCGAGCAAUUCUCCUCCCUCUGAAGGCGGCGGAGGAUUCACCAAGAGCUCUAAACAUUUUAAUGCCCUAGUCGUGGUGAUUCCGAUCUUUGUCGGGGUAAUUUUGAUAAUCUCUGCUGUUGUUUUCCUUUUGUAUCGGAGGCAGAAGGGGAAAAAGAAUGGAACGGCGCCUAGUCCUAUUGUUAUUCAUCCUCGAGACCCAUCGGAUCCCGAUAAUAUGGUUAAAAUUGUGAUUGCGAACAACACGAACAAUAACGGCUCGCUAUCUAGCGAUCUUCGUAGCGGAGAGAGCAGCGUAUCGAGCAACACUCGCAUCAUCGAGGCGGGCAAUUUCAUAAUCUCGCUUCAAGUCCUUCGCAACGCCACGAAAAACUUUGCGCAGGAAAAUGUUCUCGGGCGGGGAGGAUUUGGGGUGGUCUACAAGGGAAUGCUGCAUGACGGGACGAUGAUCGCAGUUAAGAGGAUGGAGGCGAGCGUUCUGAGCAACAAAGCGAUAGACGAAUUCCAAGCUGAGAUUGCCGUGCUCACUAAAGUGCGCCACCGUAAUUUGGUCUCCAUACUGGGCUAUUCCAUAGAAGACGCCGAGAGGCUUCUUGUUUACGAGUACAUGCCGCAAGGGGCUUUAAGCAAGCACUUGUUCCGGUGGAAGCAGCUUGGUUUGGAGCCCUUGUCGUGGAAGAAGCGGCUUAAUAUUGCGUUAGAUGUAGCCCGAGGAAUGGAGUACCUCCAUAAUUUGGCUCAUCAGUGCUUCAUCCAUAGAGAUCUCAAGUCGUCGAACAUUCUACUCGGCGAUGAUUACAGAGCUAAAGUCUCUGAUUUUGGACUUGUUAAGCUUGCACCCGAUGGGAACUCUGUGGUGACCAGACUUGCUGGGACUUUUGGAUACCUUGCGCCUGAAUAUGCUGGUAAGGGCUUCUUGUUGUAUAUAUUUCCUUAGCAGCUCAUAUUGUAUUAGUUUUAUAGAUGAUUUUAUUCUUGCUUUAAAUGUUCGAGGUAAAAUUUGAAUGUAGUGCAUCGAAGGAAACAUUAAGUUGUCUUCUUUGUGGUUGUAGAAUAGGAAUUAUUAUAAUUGUUUUCCUAGUGUCUAAUAUUUUCAUUUGUAUAGCUUCAGUCGAUCAUUUUUGUGCUAGCUUUAAAUGUUUGAAAUAGUGUUUGAUGUUUGGAAUAAAAUUUGUAGCGUUGCAUAAAGUUCAGUGCUUAAGUGGUUCAGUUGUCAUGUUAAAGAGAUGAAUUUCUAGAUGAUUGUUUAUGUUGUUUACUCUUGAAUGCCAGCUAGUAAUCUUUUCUUCUCAAUUGGGAAAGAUAUUCAUACUAUAUGCCUUCAUAAAAUUCAACAUUUCUAACCUAAUGUGAUAUCUGUCUAACUAUCUUUCUAGCCUCCGAUUUCUUGCAAAUAUUGGGUCUUAUUAUGUAUGAGAAGCAAUGCAUUGAAAAUUUAAAUUUAAAGGAGCAGAUACAUUACUUUUUUCCUGAUCUACAACACUGCAUGCAACGCACAUUCAAAAAUCAUCUAACCAUAGCUGAUCAAGUGCUAUAUUAGACAGUGCAUUUUCUACGAUAGAUUCUCACUAUACUUUAUUAGGCUGUAGUUUCUUUUAUACCCUUUAAGUUUCUAAAUUACCAAGUCAUUCACAUGAAUAUAAGAUAAUGUGCACAUGUACUGUAUAAUUUGUUAGUUAGUUCGUUUUGUCACCGUAUUUUUAAUCUCAUUUCUGCUCUCUUUUUUGUUUUCUUCAGUGACUGGGAAAAUCACAACAAAAGCUGAUGUCUUCAGCUAUGGUGUGGUUCUGAUGGAGCUAAUAACGGGCCUCAUGGCCCUCGACGAGUCCCGGGCGGAGGAGACGCGCUACCUCGCCUCAUGGUUCUACAACAUCAAGAACUCCAAAGAAAAACUAAGGGCGGCAAUUGACUUGUCUCUCGAUGUUACAGAUGAGACCUUCGAGAGCAUACGCAUUAUUGCGGAGCUUGCGGGCCACUGCACGGCCCGUGAGCCACACCAGAGGCCUGACAUGGGCCACGCGGUGAACGUGCUUGCCCCGCUGGUCGAGAAGUGGAAGCCCAUUAAGGACGAGCAGGAAGAGUAUUUAGGAAUUGACUUUCGCCAGCCUCUCCUUCAAAUGGUGAAAGGGUGGCAGGCUGGUGAUAGCACGACUAGCGACGUGAGCACUGUGGGCCUGAGCCUUGAUGAUAGCAAAGGGAGCAUCCCGGCCCGGCCUGCAGGGUUCGCGGAGUCCUUCACGUCUGCAGAUGGACGGUGAAUAAGCUUUUCUUUUGUUUUUUAUGUCUUGGGUCUAGUUCUUUUACUUUAAAGCAGAUAUCUUUUGUUUGUGUUCAGCAUGUAGAUAGAUAGCAUUAUAUGUGUAUGCCAUGUUUGGACGGAGGUUUUGACCCCGUUUUGUUUGGUAUAAAAUAGUUCAUGGUAAACUAGCGCUCACUUGCAUGAGCUCAGUUGUUUCUGGGAUAUGUUCUUGUUCAGGCAAUAAUUUAGAUAAAAUGGAGCUUCAAUGGCUUCUUUUUAUUUUAUAUAAUCUGCUAUAUUCAGCUUUUUUCCUUGUCUUAUAUGGUUCAGUUACUUGCCCACUUCUUAUUAGUUCAUCAAAACCUCUUCUUUUCCUUUUAAGUUUUCUCUCAAUGCUUUCUUUCCGAUUGUAAGAGAGUGAGAAUGACGGCAGGGUUUUCUUCUGAUUCAUUGCCUGUUGUUCUGUUAAUAUAUAUGUGUUAUGAAUGUGGCAUAAUCAUUGUUGCCUAAUGUAGAUUUAUAGUUGAUAUGUAAAAUGCUUACCAUACAAGUUGUAAAUUAAACAUAGGGCAAAGCAGUUUGUUUUUGUUAGUUUUGUGAUUUGGGAGCUAUAACUGUGAAAUAAUUUCUCCUUUUUAUAUAAAUAUAACUAAGCCUGAUUAAAUUCUGUUGUACAUACAUGUCAUGUUAUUUGAGAUAGAUUUAAAUAUAAAAUUUAAGUCCAGAGGAUUACUAUUUGGGUAUCUCCACUUGCGGAAUUAUUGUUCACAUAUAGAUGCAAAAGAGGCACCCAUCAUGCCUAACUUGUGGGUCUAUUUAACUUGACGGUGAAAGGAGAAUCUGUUUGUAUUUGUUGGUUGUUACUCUUUAUCACAUAUAUGAAGUUUCUUUUCGGUACAGCUGGAUACGAUCCGAUCUGACACAAUAAUGAACUGAAAAUAAUGUGAUGUGUGGCAUUAUUGUACUCAUAUAUCUUCUGUUUGAUAAAGUUGUUUGACGAGUCAAUAACCGCUUUUUCGUUAAUACUCUUCGAUGUGAUUAACUCUAAGAAAGUUUUAAUUGCAUUUGCUUAUGUUGCUCUGAAUUUCCUUUUGUUUUUAGUCCGUCAAAUGUCUAAUAACUUGAUUCAUGCCAGGUAAAAGUAGUAGUAACUAUUUGGCCUCGCUCUCAGGUACGGUAGUAUUUCAGCAGCAUACUAUUUUGAAAUCGCUUUUCUCUCUUCAGUAUAAUCCAGAGUUUCAAAUUGGAACUUGCGCUUCCAUAAGUUUCAGAAUCUCAUUUCUCCUAUCGGAGCAAAUGCCGCUCCAAAUGAUUGAUGAUAAAAAUAGACGCAGAAGCGGCGCUAACCGGGCAUUAUAAAGAUGAGAGAGACAUUAUGAUGGAUGGUUCUAAACCAUGAAAAUGGCCUUCUGCCAUGAUUGGGGGUCUUUUCUGACACCCUAAAAUGUGUUUCAGUGCCUGAAAGUGGCGGGAAUUGGUAUCUUGGACCACAAAUGAUAAGUCACAAGCCAUCACCAUCACCACAAACAGACACUUCCCUGUGCUUUUCUAGAUCUAGAAGUGUUACCACUUCCUAACAUCAUUAAAAUAGUUUGUUGUGGUUGAUGUUUCUGGAAGGAAAAUGAUAUGGUAUCUAUCUACUAUUCAUUAUCCACCACUUGUUUUUGCUGUCCAGGUAAUAGUGCUGUGAAGAGAAAGAGCUUUUGUGCUUCUUAAAUAUCACUGUAAAAUCCAUACUUGGAUUUAAAUUUGUGUGGUUCUAACCAACCUGAUUAUUUAACCCCUUUUUUAACAUGUUAGUUGCUGCUCUACUUGGAUCUAUUGAGGCUCAACUUAAGGGUUUUAACUUACUAGCUGUUUACUUGUCUACAAGAACAAGUUUAUUUCUUUAAUGAUUGUUAAUUAUUUGCGCUUUCAUGUAUCUAGGAAGCUAAAUUUUUUUAUUUUCAUAAGGUAAAGAUUCAUUUGCUUGAGGAUAAUGGUAUCAACUGUUCUAAUUUUUUUUAAUACCAGAUUGUAUUUUUUUGAAUCUUGUCAAAACUGAUUAAAUAAUCAGUAACUAUCUUUAAUGAAUCUAUCUGUCAGUAGUAAUUUCUGGUCGGCUAAUAUUACUUCUCUUUACUUAACCCUUCAUAGGAUGGAGGUGAUAUUAAUAUAUUUAUUUUUGAAAAAUAACAUGCUUUCCAAUUUGUAUAUGUAUGUAGAAUUAGAAAAUCUUUCAUUAGCUACCUGUUUGGUUCCUCGAAAAAGUAUGAAANUUUUCAUAAAAUUUGAAAAAUAACAUGCUUUCCAAUUUGUAUAUGUAUGUAGAAUUAGAAAAUCUUUCAUUAGCUACCUGUUUGGUUCCUCGAAAAAGUAUGAAAAAAGAAACUUUUUUUUUUUUUCACUUUUUCGCCUGUUAGGUUAAAAAAACUAGCUCCUUUGAAAAGCUUUUCUUUUUCAAAUUUUAUGAAAAACUAGUUUUUUCGUUUUCCUAAAAAGAAAUCCAAAAAAUAAAAACACUAGUUAUUUUAUAAAAUAUGAAAAAAGAAAAAAUCUAAAAAAAUAAGUUUUUCUAGAAAUUUUUUUUUUCUAUUUUUUUUUUUAGAGAAACCAAACAAUUCUUAAAAUGAUAUAGAACACACAUCACAAGCCAUUCAAUCUUAUCCACGUGAAUCUUAUGACAGUCUUUUAACCAUUAUCAAAAUUUUACGUGCAUGUAAUUGUGCUUUGGAUGUAGGGACUAUUAGAUUCACCAACUAGAUUUAAUAAAUUUAUUUAUUACUAUCAUAAUUAGAUUUUCUAGCUUUUGGCCUAAAUAUAUAUUAUAUACAGAGAGAGAGAGAGAGAGAGAGAGAGAGAGAGAGAGAGAUCCAUGGCUUAAUUUGUUUCAUCACGCACCCAUGUCUCCUAAAACUACCCUCCUAAACCAAAAAAAAAAACAUAAAAAAAGAUCAUCUUGCUUAAAACAAUACUUAGCUACUUAUUUGCUUGUGGUCAACUACUUGUACCAAAAGUAUAUUUGUGUGAUCAUGUGUUAAAAUUAAGUCAAAAAAAUACAAGAAAACAAUUGUGAGUGUGAGAUCGUUUGUUGCGCCUCUCCUUAUGGAGGAGAAAGUGGGGGAAAUUCACCCAUUCAUCCCCCCCCAUAUAUCACGCAUGUUCUCGCUUUUAGAAGAAGCACUUUUUCUCGCAUGAGAUACAGCUGUAAACGCGUGCUCUACCCUUCUCAAUAUUCCACCAAAUAUUUCAAUUUCGAUGGCGACGCAUUUUAUACAGUCCAAUGUGUAGUAUUUUUUUUUCUUAUUUAGUUGCUAUAUAAUUUUACUGUUGUUCUAUGGAAAACAAUAAUAUACGCAUUCACAAAAUGAGUGGUUAUACCAAAAUUCUUAAAAGUUGUUAUAAAACUUAACAAAGCUAAAAUUUCUGAAUCUCCGCAAUUACAUUUUCUGACAAUACUGAAGAAGACCUAUAUUGCACUAUAUAUACACUUCACAAUAAAGUUACAGAAUAAUCUAAACAGCUGCGAGACAUCGUUUGCUAAGAAUGCAGCCGACCAUCCAAUAUGUUUCAAUUUUGAUGCUAAUCGUUAUACAGUUAGGUGUGUGGAAUUUUUCUUAUGCAUCAGUUAUUUUCUGGUUUUUGCGGGCUAUUCAGAUAGUAUCGUUCAUAUUGAAUUAUCAGGAUGCAUUUCGCCGAUGAUAAAUAGAUGGAUAGCUUCGUAGGGAAUCGUGUCUGAAUUUGAUUAAUAUUCAGGUACAAAUCAAUUUUGAUUUCUCACAAGAGAAAACAGAGAAUAAUGAAGCUAGAAGUGGCUCACUUGUCUUAGUCCUUGGCAAAGCAACUGGUGACUUAAAAAAGAUAGUAGAAGUCUCUCUCUCUCUCUCUCUCUCUCUCUCAUUCUCUAGAAAAAAACAAAGUAUUAAAAACAGAAUUGAAAUGGAGAUAAGAAAAAUAGAGCAUAAAAUAUUUAUGCGUUUUGAUCGCUGGCUUAUGUCGACGUGCGAAAAUGAAACAUAAGUUAUAAUAAAAAUAGAGCAAAAAUUUUCAUUAUGAUCAAAGUAUUGUACAAAAUAUGUUCUGCUUACAAAAUUCUAGUUUUAAAAUACAUGCAUACUCCCUUUUAUUUGCGGCACUAAAUCAAUAGGAUAAAAGCUAUAUUUAUUUUUUUAACUAAAAUCUCAAUACGAUUAGGCAUAAUUUAAAUUUAACUUAAUAAGAUAAUCAAAAUAGUAGAAAACUCUUGCGGUUCUAGAAUUUGAGACAUAUCUAACAAAUUUGUUAGAUAUGUCUAACAACUCUUUUUUUUUUUUCUUUUUUUUUUUUACUAAGAGAUAAGUAGCACGCUACCCACUUCGUUUAUUUCAUAUAGAAAUAAACUUAGUUGAAAAUGUGAAUCAACUAGGAUUCGAACUUGGAACCUCGGGUACCAACCACCAAGCCCUUUGCCACUUGCUCUAGGAGCGGUCGGUAAAUAACAACUCUUUGAGGUAAGGAAAAAUUACUGUAUUAUGUGGCUAGCCCUUUAUUUCUAUUAAAUAUAAAAUAUAAUGGAAUACUGAUAGUCUCUAGUGCAAGCGAUAAAAAAUUUGAUAGUUAGUAUCAAAGAUCCCAGGUUUGAAACCUAAUGCUUCACAUUUCUAGCUAAUUUUACAGGAUGUUCUAAUUUCGAAUUCACACUUCAAACAACUCACCCUAAGACCGAUGUAAAUUAAAUCUGACAUUGAAACAUGAAACUCAAAUUUAAAACAUUUAGGAUUCGUUUGGGAUUGGGGUACAAUUGCGUUACGUGCAGUGAAAAAAUACAAUGGGAAAAUACUCUGUUUGUUUCCGUACGUAAUAUUGUAUUCUGGAUAUUGCGAUGAGUCGAUUAUAAUUUUUAUUUGCGAUCCCAUCGGAGAAAGCAGAAGCAUAUCACUAUAUAUUUUUUCCCUAACUUCAUUUUAUUUAAUAUCGUUAGAUAGACCUUAAUACCAAACUAAGCCUUAAUAGGAGAUCAAACCUCCGACCUCAAAAUCGGCCUCCGAGUAGGUAUCUAACCACUAGAUCAACUUUCCCAAAAAGCCACAACAGGCCCAUAAUCAAAUUGGUCUAAAAAAUAUUUAGGGGUGCUGAUAUUUUGAAGUGAACCAAGCCCCAUUAAGUCCAAUUCGAAACAUACCAGUGACACAAAAGCAGAGGUUAUAUAAAACAGUGAACAUUCAAUUCACACAUACACCACAUAUAAUACAUACAAAUUCAAAGGCCCAAAAUCAUAUGAAAAAGACACUUCCAAUUUAUCUGAUGAGAAUGUGAUGCCUUAUAUGCAGAAGAAACAAAGAAAAGCACUUUGUAGAGGAGCUUGAGGGCUCAAUGAUGGUUAAGCCCCAUUUGUUUCCUUGUCCUGUGAACAAACAAGUCCCGCGACUUGAACAGUCCCGGUAACGGCCCGACCAUCGUCAUGAACGGCAAUUGCGCCACCGCUUCUUUCCUUCCCAACGUCACCAUCGCCAUCGCCGAUCCGGGCUUGUAAGACGCGAGUUUGCCCUCUUUUGCUCCGGCUGCAAGCAGCUUCAAGUUCUUCGCCGCCACCAUCGCGUGCCGUUGCGCCAAAAAUCCUUGUUUAAGUUCCUGCCCACACAAUGCAUGUUACGAAUCAAGGGUAAGCGAAUAACAUCUUAUAUGACACUUGCAAACACUAUCAGAAACUCUCCCGCUUCAAUUCGGAUGAUGAAACAUCUGAAUCAACAAUCGAUGCCAGCGACCUCAAAUGCACCUCUUAUUUGCCAUUAAAAGUUGUAGAGGUUUGUAUGUCAUAGAUCAUGUUUAACAGUAUCAAUCUUCAAUUUGAAAUGCACCAUUACUGGAAUGCAGAAGUAAAAGAGUCAUUUCUGUAAGUCGGUUUGUGUUAGAAGUUUCUGCAAAUCAUACAUUAAAAUUCAGAUUUUGGAGGUAUGUGUAUGUAAAGAUUGCUGAAAUUAGUUCGAAAAUCAGGCUAUCUUUUCGAAGAGCACACACACUUCAUUCUUAGGAUUUGCGAAUAAGCAGUAAACGAAAAGUUAACAGCAAAAACUUACAGGAAUAUCGGUAAUGUCUCCGAUGGCGAAAAUGUUACUGUGCCCUCUUACUCUCAAAUGCUCAUCCACCAUCAGCCUCCCAUACUUAUCCAAGCUAUUCUUCAAUGCUGUUUCGGCGAGCCACGACGAACCCAACGGUCGAUCCACGCAAAGGAAGUGGCUGUCGGCUUCGAUGGUUUCUCCAGACGAAGUUGUGUAGACUCUAUCAGCUUCUGAAAUAGAGUUCAAGUCCACUGACUGAUCCAAAAGCACUUCCACUUUCUUCGACUUCAACCAAUUUAGCGCUUUGUUGCUCGCUUUGCGUCCGAUGAAUUCCAGCAACCUUGGCCCGUUGUGAACCAGAGUGACCUUCUUAUCAGGGUAGUCGACAGCGAUCUCAGCGGCGAGUUCAACACCCGUCGGCCCUCCUCCGACAAUAAGGACGGAACCGGAGUUUUGGAUCUUCACAUUAUCUGUAACAAAGUGAAAUGUUACAAGGAGAAGGACGCGAAUUGCCGCGAACUUCAAGCAAUGCUUCAUAUUUGUGUCCAAUUUCACAGAUCAUCCAUGUCGGAUCGUUGGCGCUAACCAUUAAUCCCAAAAACUCGAGCUGUUAGAAAUACGCAACCAAUUCAUUUAAAGCGUACAGAUACAGCGCCCACGGGUCUCAAUUGUGACUUGGCCCACCUGACCUCACGCCACUUCGAACAUGACUCGGCCAACCCAGCCUCACGCCAUUUCGAACGUGACUCGGCCCAAAUCAGCCUCCCGCCACAGGGCAGGAUGCUGGCCCAUUUAAGCCAACAAUCCAGUGAAUGCAUAUGAACUACACAUCAGUACUAAAGUGAGUUGCCGCGAAAACAAAUGUCGACAAAUACUUGCCUUCUUGGAAUUGUUCUAGCCUGUCUCUCCGACGUCGAGGAGUCGAGACUGUAUGUCCUGUGGCUAUGACGAGGUAUUCGUACGCCACUUCACGCCCCUCGGCUGUCAUAACCGCUGCUUCGCUGACAUCGACCGCAGACGACGUAAUAACUUUGCCAUUGACUAAGUAAUCGCUGUGGUUGAUCAACGAUUUCUCCGCAACCGAUGGCUCGACCUUCGAUCUCAGGUUUGUCCACGGAAUCUCAAAGUACUCCUUCCUGGGAGGAUUUGAAGAACACAAAGAAAUCAAAUUAAUGACUGUUCAGAGCAUUACAGAUUUGCUUAAAAAGUAGAUCCUACUCGAUUUAAAUCGAAAAGAUCGUCUUAAUUUCAAUCUUGAAAGAAUGAAAGAUUAGGUUAUAAGUAAAAAAUAACUUUUUUUUUUUUCCACUUUAUUGUUUGCAAGCUAACGAACAAUGACAAUAAGAGAGAAGUUCAUCUGCUAGAGCGUCUAAUCGCAUUGAAUUUAAGCUUUAAGAAACAAAAAAGGUAAAAAAAUUAUUCCUUUCGACAACAUAAUAAUCUUAAUAGUAUCAUCGAAAUAGGUAUCGAAGAUUUAAAAUUUUAAUUGUACUACCAUAUCAUAUAGUAAUUUUUAACUUUGCGACAUAAUAUUCGUAAUCGAAAGGGAUAUUCUGAGAAUGAACAAGACAAGUCGUAAAAUAAUACAACAAAUAUUCAAGGUUAGGUUAUAAAAUCAAAAGUCGCAAAAUACGGAUAGCAUAAUCAAACUUUCAAAUUUCGAAUAUCAAUUCCAAUUUAUCAAUGCGAUACUUACAAAAAAAUUCUACAAUAGUUUACAACCAUGCAUGCACGGCCAAAUUUAAUUGUCUCUAAUAGCUUUAGUUUUCGGAGAAUAUGUUUUCAUAUUUUAUAUCCGACACUACUAAUUAAUAUCCGUGCUUAAUUCUUUUUGAUAUGUCUAUGACAGGAACUUCAAAUUUUUUUAAUAUUUUUUAUAUAUUUUAAUAUUUUUUAUUCAACGCAUAAGAUCAAGAACUUCAUAAAUUGUUGUAAGAUUUAUAUAUAAGCAUAGCAUUAUUCAUCAUGAAUGCCAAAUAAUCAAGCGCGGAAAAUUAAAGUGGGGAGAGGGAGAAAUGUUGGCGAUUUUAUAUACUGAUCAAUCAAGACGACGUCGGUAUGAAACUGGAUCGAUUUGGCGAGGAGGGCACCGGCAAUGCCGCCGCCGACCACCACCACCCUCCGCCAACUCCCGCUCGCCCCACCUCCUCCUCCUCCUCCUCCUCCUCCUCCUCUGCCUCCUCCGCUAUUCAUUAAUACGCGAUUACUGAAAAAAAAUCCGAAAUCAACACUGCAUUAAUAUAUCAAAUCUGAAAAUGACACGAUUUGACGCAACUGCUAUAAAAUUUACUUUUUGAAUAUUUUAACACGAACAGUAUCCACCGAUCUGAAUUGUGAACCCUAGCGCGCGCUCUCUCUCUCUCUUUCUCUCUCUAGAGAAAAGGGGGAGGAGGGAGAAGCGAGCUAGGGUUUGUUCUCCUCUCUCUCUCUCUCUCUCUCUCUCCUCGACCUCUUAUUGGAGCUCCAUUUCCGAGCAUCGAAACCGUACGCGCGGGGCUCCGAAACAAACGCCGCUCCAUUUGUGGGGCUUAUUAUUGGAGCUUCUAGAAGCUGCUUCAACGACAACCGGACACGAGGCAGUUUCCUAUUGGCCGCAUAAAUCUUUUUCAAAAAAAUCCUAACCGAAGAAGCUUACCAAUCACAGAAAGCCACGUAGGGACUGUUGGACCCCACCGGAUUUUCUGGCGCCAAAACGAAACAACGGCUUCGGCGUUGUAACAAACCAAAGUUUAAAACAGUUUCGGUGGUUAAAAAACUCGUCAUUAAAAAUAAUGAUAUAUACAUAUAAUAUAUAUAUAAUAUAUAUAUAUAUAUAUAUAUAUAUAUAUAUAUAUAUAUAUACAUGCCCUCCCUUCUACUCUUCAACUACUAGGGCUGUUGGGUUGGAUGUAGUUGCAGAAACAGCUGUAGUUGGAAAUGUACAUGCAGUUGCAAAUGCUGCAGUGUAAAUAACACUAGUAGGUUUGGUUUUACGCAGUUGCAACGCUGCAGUUACAUUUCUUCUGUUUGGUAAUAUAAAGACUGAUGUUGUAUUUGUGAAUUUUAUCACCUUUCAGAUAGAGUGGUAGACAUUCACCUUCACUAAACAUAAAAUAUUGUAUAGUUUUCUAAUCAUGUUAAAUUUAUCUAUUUAUAAAUAAAUAAGUAAUAUAUAUAAUAUUCUUCAACUUAUUAAUCGACACAUUUAAAAUUUUUAAUUUAUUUAAUUUUAAUAUGUAAAUCAAACUUUAAAAAUUUAAACGAUUCUCUCAUUUUUUUUUUAUCAAAUUUAAUAAUUAUAAUUAAUUAAAACUUAUUAAAUUAACAUACACAAUCACAUUCUAUAAAAUUUUUUAAAAAAAACUAUAUUUAUAUUUUAAAUAAAAUAAAUUUAAAAAAUUUAAUUUUUUGCACAAAGCUUGUAUUGUCUAAAAAAUUUUAUUAGUAUGAGUUUAUUUACAAGUAUUUUUAUUUACCUAUAUACAUAUAUUAUUUAUUUAUUUAGCUAUUUAUUUAUUUAUUUAUUAUUGUUAAUUUGUGGGUGAUCCUAUCCCUCACCAACUGCUGCAGUUGAAACUACGGCCAAUUUGGAUGUAGUUCCAACUGCAACAUUUGGACCUUUUUGUGUAGUUGGAACUGCAGCAGUUGAACUCAAAUACACUAAACCAAACAAAGGAAUUAAGGCUGCAUGCAUUUGCAACUGCACUGCAGUUGCAAAUGCGUGGUUGUACAUAUUUGCAACUGCAUUGCAACUACAAAUAUAUGCAAUUUCAAUUUUUGUGUUUGGUUUAAUGCAGUUGAGUCCAACUGCUGCACUUGCAACUGCACAAAAAGGUCCAAAUGCUGUAGUUGAAACUAUAUCCAAAUUGACUGCAGUUCCAACUGCAGCAGUUGGUCAGAAAUAGGAUCACCCACAAAUUAACAAUAAUAAAUAAGUAAAUAAUUAUAUAUAUAUAUAAUAUAAAUUUUUAUUAUUUGAUUUUUAGCCCAACCUAAAUAUAAAGCCCAACUCAAUUAUAAAAUGGUUCAUUUAUAAGUAAAAUUUCAACCAUUAGAUCAAAGUAUAACGGGUAAGAUCUUAUAAAUUUAUUUCAUAUAUAUAUUCUUUCUAAUUCUUUUAAAUUCUUAUUCAUAAGCCAGCUCGUAUUCGGCUUGUGGGCUCGUUAACAAACGAGCCAAACACGAGCCGAAUUUUUCGACUGGAUACUUUAACAUGCUAGCUCGUGUUCGACUCGUUCGUGCGGAACACGAGCAUGAAACGAGCACGAGCCGACCCCAGCUCGCUCGUGUUCGGUUCGUUAACACCCCUACCCGAGUGAGGGUCGAUAUAACAGACUAAGCCAGGGUCGGUGAAUGACAGGCUAAGUCAGAGUCGGAACUACAAAGGUUAGCGAGACGAAUAUCACAUCGUCUGGUGAUCUUGGGUUGUGUGUGUUUAGGGCGAACAAAGACGUCAGGGCGUAAACGAGGGAAGUCUAUGACAUCCAACUAGUCUCAUAUAGGAUGGAAAUAGGGUUGUCAUUGGUAUAAGUGGACUCCACCCUAUCUUCCGAACAAAAGGAAAGGUCUUCUUCUGUGAAUCCCUCUUGUUCCUCAGCUUAAGCAUUUUGGGCCAAUGGUUUUGACCCAAUGAGUUAUUAUUGCUAGCGGGUCGGGUCGUUACACAUCGGUAGUAAACCAAAGCCAAACAAACCUAACCUAUUUGAUAUUUUGGCUUUAGUAAAUAGUUCAGUUCUUUCAGUUCAAACAAUAAAGGUUCUUCCACUUUACAAUUUUAACUUCAGUUUCGAAACCAAAAAUUGAAUAAACCAAUUGAAUAUAUAUCACAUUUUGUACAUUUUGAAUCUUGCAGGAUCUGAAUAUGUUGAAGGGACAUUCUAUAUAUCUAAAGAAUUGAUUUAAAGAAUCAAGAUCUGAAUGGUUCCAACGCUAGCAAAAAGGUUAUGAGAUAAAAAAUCCAUAAUUAAUAUUUACAUAAAUUUAACCCAAAAACCUUAUGGGUAUAGGUCCAAACCUCCUAAACUAAACCAAUAAUUUUCCAUUCAAUUAUGUGGAGCAUUAAAGUUCAGAUAUUUUGAUUCUGUUAAAUCUCUUCUGAAACCAACUACAGAAACCAACUACACCAAUCAAAUGCAUAUCCAUACUAAUAGGUUUACGUGAUUGUACAAAUACUAGAUUGUGGACUGAAGAUUUCAGAUAUCCAUAUUUGGUUCUAUUAGGGGAUAUAAUAUGGAAGAGAUUAAGGAUUUCAUGACGAGUCUUACAUUCCUUGGGAGUUUGGAAACUAUUGGUCAUCUCAACCAAAUGCCCAACACAUAUCUCCCCUGAAUGAUCUCAAAACAGAUCAAAAAUGUCGUUAAGAAAUGUACAACUUUAGAUCAGAGUUAGUUAAUUCACGAAUUAUUCGCGAAAGAAUGAACAAAUGAAUUAUUCACCUUGUCCCCGUAUAUUUCCCAAAUAUUGUGAAAAAUAUAAGCUUUUUGGAGGCUAACAAAUAGAACCCGUCAUAUUCAGGACCAAAUAAUAAUUCAUGGUUUAAUUCGUAGGCAUGUGACAGGUGGCCAAUAGCUCUUGGUGCAAUUUCAAUUUUGAAAUUUCAAAUCCUGUAAAUUUGGCAUUCUCAUGAUACUAUAGGGUCAUCAUAGUGCAGAUAUUAUUCUAUAGGGUCAUCAUGGUGCAGAUAUUAUUCAGACCCUUCAUCAAGAUGAAUACCACAUCUAAAAUGCAAUUAGGUAUUUUUGUAAACAGACAUGAUUAGGUUUCUAUUAGUUUUGAACUAAUUCAUUUGGCAGCAAUAUUUGAUAAAUUAAAAACCUGCGAAAAAAGAACAAAUGAAAUAAUAGCUAAAAAUUAUGAAAUUUUGGUAAGACAUCAGUUUUCAUCCACAGAAGCUAGUUUUAAAGUUUCGUGUUAAUCUGACUCUCGAGCAGUUAAAACGGAAUCCUACAACAAUCCAUCGAAAUUUCUUCUCAAUAGGCCAGUGACUAAUAUCUCUGAUUAUUUCUAAUUAAGUCUGCCUAUCAUUUAAGCCUAACUGAUGCAAACCGAGAGGUUGUAAAAUCUGAAUUUUCAACUUUGCUUUCGUUUAUAAGUAUUCUUGAAAUAAACUAGGUUCAAUUUAUCAAUUCUAGCGAACUUUACUAAAACUAAAGGAAGCAAGAAAAACAAAUUUCAACAAGACGGAAAAUUAAAAUCGAAUUCAAGAAAUACUACAAUAGUGAUAAACCUUCAAUAUAUGAGAUGAUAACAACCAACUAAAAAUACAUAUAAUAGUUCCAAAAAGGUAAAUUCAGUUUUAUUGAACUUAAAACUCUUAGAUCUGAUUGUUUUGGCAAAUAUGUUUGGUAAUGGUAGAAGGCUAGAUUAAAAGGGAUAAUGGGUUAUCAAGAGACGAGAGAGAAGAUAAGAUACAAGAAGUGCACCGAUCACACGAUUGCAGAGGAUCCACGAUCGACGAGGGCAGUACAUCAUGGGUAGAACUUCAGCAACAACGAAGGAGAAGUGGAGGUUGGGACCCUAAAGAAGAAAGGGGUAUAAGUAGAAGCCGAUCUUGCCACGAAGAAGAAGCGACAACGAUCAAGUUGAGGAAGAAGACGAUCUCGGCACGAGAAAAAAGCAUCGAUGAUCACACCGGAAAGAAGAACAUGGCAAGGAUUAAAGAACAAGAGUAGAAAUUUCUAUUCAUCAAAUCUGCCUCUCAAAGUAUCAAGAACCAAGUAAUUAUUGUGUUAAGAGCAUAUUUUGUAAUAAAUUAUUGUCCAUUCGUCUUCCACACAACAUGGUCACCCAAAGAUCACACAUAGAAGACGAAGAGAUUUUGGGAAGCCGAAAGGUCUUUUUUGGGUUUGUUUCUAUGUUUAUUGAAAAAAGAGUUUGGGUUAGCCGAAUCAACUAAAACUAAAUGAUUUAAGCCCGAAUUCAACACGAACUUACAAAAUAAGAGAAAACUGCAUUCAAAAAUUUAAAAAAAUUUAUUUGCUGCAUUAGUUCUUCCUGGGUUGGAGAAAUCUCGACCCCAUCGAGAUGGCAUCCUGAUAGCUCUAGCAUAAGUCCUCUCGAAGUCAACACAACUCCACCUCAGAAAACCAACUGUUAUCGGACAAUGUCAUUCACACCAACAUACCAAGUAUCGGCGAUGGGUACCACGACGCGUCGUAGACUCACGUACAUUCAGAAUAUCCUCCGCCUAAUCUGAUAACGCUUCAAUGUCGAUGCAAAAAGCCAAGCCCUUAAUAUCGAUAGUAGAGGGGGCCUCUCCAUGGUACUCGUACAACUCGCUAACAUGAAGAUCGGGGAUGCUAGCACGUUCGGGUGCAAAUCAACUAGAUAUGCAUUUGACCCCAACUUCUUCAUAAUUUUGAAUGGCCCGUACUUUUUCCUGCUCAACUUGCUAUACACUCCAACUAAGAAACUUUCUUUUCUAAAAUAGAUUAAGAUAUAUCCCCUUCAUUAAAAGUCAUACAUCGACGAUGUUUACUCGCUUACUCCUUGAUGGGGAACCGGGUCCUUUUCGGACUUAUAUUCAUCGUCAGAACCUAAUUCAGAAUAUUUGGUUGGACGAUAGAUUGAUACUAGAAGCCUGACUUGAAUCUGGGUCUGAUUCAUGUUCGAUGGAUUUUGAAGUUUUAUUAGAUAAGGAUAUUUAUUUGAAAGUUUUAGUUUAUUAUUUAGAUUAGAAUCCUAUUCCUUUUUAGAACUGUGUUUUGAAUUCUCCUAUGAGAAUUUGUUUAAUUUCCUUUUUAGGACUUCUAGUCAUAUUUUUAGUCGUUUUAACCUAUUCUAUAAAUAAGGGUCAAGACCCUAUUGUAAGGCAUGCUUUUUGUUAAUGAGAAUGGAGUUGNAAAAUUUUAAAUGUGUUGAUUGAUAAGUUGAAAAAUUAUUGAAAAAUAUAAAAAUAUUAUAUAUAUCCACUUAUUUAUUUAUAGAUAGUAAAUUUAACUGAUUAAUAAAAUUAUAUAAUUAUUUUAUGUAUAGUGAAGGUAAUCUCACCUCUCUAUCUAAAGAGGUAAUAAGAUUCACAAAGACAACUAUCAGGUUCAAAUUACCAAAUAUAAGAAAUGCAACUGCAACAGUUACAUCUACAGAAAACCAAAUAAAUUAUAUGUAAUUACAACUGCUGCAUUUUCAACUGUAUGCAUUUUUAACUACACUGCAUUUACAACUAAUUAGAUAGAGCAAAUGCGUCAAACUAUGAGAAACUUGACACUUUGGUUUCCAAACUCUAAUUUAUUAUGAUUUCUGACUCGAACUUGCUGAAUUAUUAUAAUUAAGUCACAUAAUCUAAUUUAAUUGACUAAAUAUUAAUAUAUCGCUAAUGUGAAAAUGAUCUACCAUUAAUGCGAUUGAUGACUAAUAUUGAUUAAGAAAUCACAUUACUUUUACAUCAGUGACACAUUAAUAUUUAGUGAAGAUCACUUGAUCACAAUAAUUUACAAAAUUCAAGCCAAAAAUGGCAACAAAUAAAAAGCUUAAAGUGUCACAAGCCUUAUAGUUUUGUGUCGCAGAUGAGGCCUCUUUCACUAGAGUCCCUUUUGAAAUGGUCCACUCAGUUUUAUUAUUAUAUAUAAUUUAGCACUCUAUUAACUUUUAACUUUUUCUAGUUAAAUGAUUCUAAUCAAUUAAAUUUAAUAUUUUACUAAAUAUAAUAAUAACUUCAUCAAAUUGACUAUAUCAAAUAAUCACUUAGCAAAUAAAACUAAAUGAUUAAUGUUUAAUAAUCAGUAAAGUCAUUAAAUUAACAACAUAUUCAACCUAAAUCCAGAAAGAAUACUUAAAUAAAAAAAUAAUUAGAAGUCGAGGGUGUCAUCAGAAAAAGUACAAGCCCCUAUUUCAAAAUGUAAAAUAGUUGACGUUUCUCCUUACAUUUUUACCAAUAAAAUGUGCACGGCUUUUCAUGCUAAUGGGCUAGCCCAUCUAUGUAGUUUAGUGGGCUGGGUCAUUGUAUUUCUAGUUUGAAAUAUCACUUAAAUUUACGUAGUUCAGGUUGCGAAUUGGUUGGUUUUGGGUUUCUGGAUUUUACAUAGCAGGUUUCAGUUCAUCACAUUAAACUUUACAAGUUGCUUGAGUUCAGGUUAGGUCGCGUUUCGAUUCAUCGACUAUUGAUCUAGCCCAAAUUUGAUCAGGUUAGAUUACUCAGACUGGAUAAGUUUCUUCCUUCUCUGAUAGGGAUGUAAAGCAGACCAGACGACGCACGUACUAUUGAGCGAGCCCAAAUCUUAUCAGAUCAGAUUGCGAACGUGAGAAGUCGUCGUUGUGGACGCAGCACUCCCUUUGGGCAUUGACAAAGUUGUGGUCAUUGUAGGUGGUUUCUCACCUGGGGAGAUGUCGCCCGGAUCGCUGUACCAGAGGUUUCAAAUUUGAAGCAGGAUGUCGCCCGGAUGGCUGUACCAGAGGUUUCAAAUUUGAAGCAUAAUUACUUUAUAUUUUCAACUAAUUUUAUUUUUUUUAAAAAAAUGAACAAAACAGAUUUCAUCUUUCUCUUAUAUCUUACAUAUUGGACUAUCUAGAGUCUAACAGCUACCUCUUACAUGAGGUUCAUCAGUGACGAAACUAAUCCAUGAUGGGGUUAUAGAAGAUGUGGUCCCAUAUGCAACAACAAACGUCACUGCUUCAAGUUAAACAAAAAUAACACAAUUAUUUUUGUACUAUCAAAUUGUUAAAAGUUACCGAUAACUAUGCUUUACCACAACCAACCAACCAAGUGCAUGUUAAUUUGGACAAUCUGAGUUUGGGAAUAAUUUUAGGUCCUUUGUUGCAAGAAGCAUCAGUAUUAAUCUCUAGGUUCGUGCAUAAAAUGCCUGGAUCUUAGUAUAGCUUAGCAUAACUGCAAAACUAAUAAGAGUACCAAAGUAUAGUUAGGUAGGUACCUGCGAAGCCACCAAGAGGUUAGGAUUUCAAAUCCGGCCAAGUUCUUAAUCUCUGAUGAGUGAUGCCUCCACCUUUGGGUUUUAGUGUAGCAGGUUUUCCGCGAUGUACUUAGUUCGACCCGUUUAAAAGCGACCUAGUUUGUAAAGCAGUUCGGUUCAAUUCCUUGAAUUCGAUAAGCUGAAAAUCUGUUUUGAACCGUUCGAACUGGCAGUUCAACCAGCAAACUAGAUAACUGGUUUGGUUUUAAACGAAUUGGCUGAAUUUUUUUUUUUUUUUCUUCGGUAGUUUUAUUUAUCGUUAAUUUUUGCAGAUUGUAUGUUCUAUUAUGAAAAAUAAAAUUUAAAAAUUUAUAUCUACUCAAAUUGGUUCAAUAAUAAUAAUAAUAAUGAUAUAAUAUAUAUUUUUAUAAUAUAUUUUUUAAAAAAUAAUUAAAUAUUUAUGACGUCAUGUUGAUGUCACUGGUCCAUCCUUGGGCAUGUUUUUUUUCACCGAAACUCAACUUUGGGUUGAAGUGAAGUGCGGUAAAAACUACUUCUUCUCCGCUGUUUGUUUCGUAGUUAUGGAAGUGAAGUUUCAUUAUUUAAGCUUUUUGUUUGAUAGAAAAUGUAUGAUAUAAAACUAUAAUUUAUGUAUAAAUAAUAAAUAAUUUAAUAAAUAAAAAUAAUAUAAUUAUAUUUCUAUAUAAUUAAAAUUUAAUUUAAAACAACUAUAUUAUUUUUUUUAUACAUAAAUUAUAGUAAUACAAUAAUAAAAUUAUAAAGUAAAAAGAUAUUAAUACUUAAUUAAUUAAUUUUAUCAUAUUUUAAUUGUACAAAUUAAAUAAAGAAAAUAUUAAAAUUUAACUAAUCAAUUUUUAUCAUAUUUUAAAUAUAUCAACUGAAUAAAAAAAUAAUUAGUAUCAUAGUUAACUAUAUUUAAAUAUAACUAUCUGUACCUAGUAUAUUAUAUUAUUUUAUUUUAUUUUUAAUCUUUUUUCACCGUAAAUGACUUUUGCCCACGAUGGGCCGAAGUCAUUUACACCGUUUCAGAUUAACUCGAAUUUCGAUCAUAACUUAUUUACGACGAACCAAACAACGAAAGUAAACGAUUACGGCAAAAACCGCUUCCCUCUCUCCACUUGCACCCCAUGUCCGCCCAAACAAAUGUGUCCUAACAAUUCCGGAUAGUUGUUUGACCUAAUUUUUAAAACAUGAAUGUUUGAUAAGGCUAUUUUUAAAGGUACAGAGCACACAGGCUAUUUUUAAAGGUAGAGAGAGAGAGAGAGAGAGAGAGAGAGAGAGAGAGAGAGAGACACCAGAAUUUAGAAGAAGAAAUAAGCAGUUGACCUAACAAUUUGCAAAGAACCCUAUGCUGUGUGACCACAUAAGAGUGGUUGUGCCAUUGCUCUCCACUUUAUCAGUUUGGUAAGAAAGAGCUUUGAAAAAGAAAGGAUAUAAUAUAAAAUCUAUGCAACAAUGAUAAGCAUGAUGUAAGAGCAAAGCAUUUUGUCAUUUUUAAUAAACCAAACAAAGGACAAACUUUUUGAAAUGAAUUUUACUUAGAAAAUCAAACCAUUAUUAGAACAACCUCUUUUUUUCCCCUUUAUGUUCAUCACAUCAUUUGCUGGGUCCUUCAUGUCCAUCCCUUUGAUUCAUUUUUAAGAGUACAUUUCAAAAAAAGAUACAAUUAAGUCUCAUAUUGUUUUUCAUCCCAUGGCCCAUAUUGUGUCUUGUCUUAUUAUUAUUAUUUUUAGGCAAUAUUAUAGAAAACAUUUUUUAUAAAUAUUGUUGUUUCACUUUCUCUCCUUAAUUUUUAAAAACCUACAGUUUAGUCCCUCAAUAUUUUUAGUUGUUGCAUUUAGUCUCCUCCCCUCCUCUGUCGGGGGUCCAUCACUAUUCCGUCCAUUUCUUAUAAUUUAUACUGAAAACGCCCUUCAAAUGACAGAAAUAUAUUAAAAAAAUAUUUUUUUUUAUAGAAAAAUAAGAAUAAUUUGAUCAUUUUCUCCUCUCCAUUAACGUCUUACCUUCUUAAAAAUAUUUCUAAAAUUUUUAAAGGGCAAAAUAUAGUUUUUUGAAAGUCAAUGAGGAAAAAUAACAAAAAGAGUAUUUAUAGAAGGGUUUUUUUGUAAUUUAGUUAUUUUUAAUACUACAAAUUUAAAGAGUUUUUAAACUCUACAAUGGAAGUGUAAAUUAUAUAACCCUCUUUUCAGUGCAUUAGUAGCAUUUCCUAUUUUUUAAGAAACUAGUACACUCCGGAAGGGGGUGUGAUUUACACCCCCUACAUCUAAGGGCCUAUAUUAGGUUUUUGUCUUGUCAAUUUUUUUUUUAUAUUUUUUAAAUACCAUAAAGCACACAACAUUUUGUUUCUCAAAUUUUAAUUUGUUAUAAUAAUGAUUUCGAAUUUUUUGUAUUAUUAUAGUUAAGUUUCGCAACUUAGUUUAAUUUACUAAAUAUUAAUAUAUUACUAAUAUAAAAAUGGUGCAGAGGUAUUGUAAUUAAUGAUGCAAUAUUGAUUAAGAUAUUAUAUGAUUUGCACAUUAGUAAUACUUUAAUAUUUAGUUAACUAAAUUAGGUUAUGAUAUUUGAUUACAAUAAUUUAUAAAAUUCUGACAAAAAAUUGUAAUAUAUUAAAGUGUUAGCGCCAAAGUAUCACAUCUCAUCGAUCGAGGACAAAAAGUGUAACUUAGCCCUUUUUCAGUGGGGAGGGGUCAAAUGAAUUAGGGCCAACUUGGUUCGGGGUAUAGGCGGCAAUAACGAAAGUUAUUCCUGCUUUUCAGCCAAAUGGAAUUAUUUUUUACUGGAAUAUUUUAUCUCGGUCAAAUCUUGCUAUUCCUGACUAUUCCUGGCUACCCCUGAAUAGCUUUGAAUUUGCUAUCCCACCAUUUUGAUCAAAUAGUGUUAUUCUAAUGUUUAAUUUCAAACUUUAUUAAAAUUAUAAAUUAAAUUAAAACUAAAAUAUAUAAAUAUAAUAUGUUAUAUAUUAUAAUAUAUUAUUUUUUUAUAAAAUUAUUAAGUACAAUAUUAAUAUAUAUUAUUUAUAUUUAAAUAUUAUAAUAAAUUAUUUUUAUUAAAUUUAAGUUUAAGUAGAAUUUUUGAAAAAAUAAUAUAUUAUAAUAUAUAACAUANCAAAAUAAAAGUUUAUAAUUUUAAAUUCAAAAUUUUAAAUUUUAAAUUUAAAUUUUUAUAUUUUAAAUUUUUGAAAUUUAAAAUUUGAUAUUUUAUAUUUUUUAAAUUUAAAUUUGAUCUUAAAUUUAAAGUUUGAAAUUUAAAUUUUAAAAUUUUGAAUUUAAAAAUAUAAAUAUAAAAUUUUAAAUUUUAAAUUCAAAUAUAAUGAGAAGCGUAAUAUUAUUAUUUUUUAUUUAUAACUACACUCUAUCCUUCUUAUUCUAUCUUAUCUAUUUGAACGUUAUUUUUCUUAUUUUCAGAAACAAUCCAAUUUUCAUCCAAAUACAAAAUUAGUCUAGUUCUUACUUAUACAUGAAUUUAUAUCUAUUCCGGAAAUAGGCAGUUCUUAUUUAUAUCCAAACCAAAUAAUAUCUUAGAGUAAGCCUGAACCCAAUUCCUCUAUAUAUGCAAGGUCCAACCCUAAAGGCAAAAGUUGGGAAAAUGAAUUGUUUAGUAGAACUUAUUCUAUAGUAUAAAUAAGAAUAUGAGAUGCCCAGAUAACACUGCGUAUAAAUAUAUAAAAUAAGAUUGAAUACUAUUUAAUAACUUUUGUCCCUAUUCUAUUAAUUUUUGUAGGCUAAAUUACAGAAAACCCCUCUGUAAUAAUCCGUCUUUUCACUUUCUCCUCCUGACAUUUAAAAACCUACACUUUGCCCCCUUGUAAAAUGAAAAAUAUUGACAGGAUUGUUACGGUGUGUAAAAUGACCAUUUUGCCCCUCGCCAUUUUCGUUUUCUUUCUCAUCUUUCUCAGCCGCCCCUUCGAUCGGCCGCGAUUCCCACCUCAAUCAGUCGCGAUUUCUCUCCAUUUCCUUCUCCACCUGCUCCCCUUCUCCUCCUGCACCCUCGCCGCCCCCUCGAUUUCGACGAUAGUAUGGAGGAAAUCGAGGUGGGUGUUUGUGACACCCCAAUAGUCCCACAUCGGAUGGGAAUGGGGUUGUCAUUGGGUUUAUAAGAGACUUAGAUACUAGUAAUAAUAACUGGGCUUAAGCAUUUUGGGUGGUGGCUAGACCCAAGAGGUUAAGAGAGUUAAGCGUGCUAGGACGGGAGUAGUCCUAGGAUGGGUGACCCCCUGGAAAGUCGGGGUGUCACAGUUGGUAUCAGAGCCAAUUACCAGCCGGAAGUGUGAGAUGAGUCUCGGCUGAGCCAGGGUCUGGAUGAUGGGCUAGCGAGACAAGUCUCACAUCGCCUGGUACUUGUGAGUCUGAGCCUGACGAGGAUGUCAGGGCUUAAAGGAGGGGAGAUUGUGAGACCCCAGAUAGUCAUAUAUAUGAGAUAUAAUAUGGCUAAACUCUUAACCCGGCUUAAGCAUUUUGGGUGCUUUAAUCUGUCACGUCCCGGGGUCCCUUUUAGUUUAAAAGGUAGGCGGAAAAGCGUCUGAAAAUUUUUUUUUUGAAAAUCUGACCCCAGAGUGUGCCAGAUCCGCCACAAAUACAGAGUUCCACUGUUCACACGGACAGAGUCUCCCCUGUAUUUGCACGGCGUCGCACAAGUACAACAGAGUAUAAGUACACACACAACCACAACCAGAUGAACAACAAGAUAGAUAACAUUCAUCCAUUCCAUUCACACACACAGAUAUGAGACUUGAAUAAGAGUAACAUUCCACAUCUAUCAGUUAAAAUGUUUCCUACCUGGAAACUGAUAUGAGACUUGAAUAAGAGUAACAUUCCACAUCUAUCACUUUAAUCUGUCUAGUUUCCCGUGACUAGUGAGUACCCCUCGCCCUCUACGGCUUGCGGUACCCACUGGGAGGGGAGACAUGUUUACAUGUUCGCACCCCCCGCCCCCUUUACAGGUGACGUAGCAGGUCCGAGUGGGGCAGCUGGUGGGGAGCGUAUCUAGCUUGCGAUAGAGCUCCUUCCCGAGUCGGUUAUUCCUUUUACCCUUCAUGCUUAAAUAAAUACUUAGACAUAUUAUGGUUCAGUUCUAUUUUAUUAUCUGACUAUCUGGGUUUUCAAUUGGUUUCGAAAUGUACUAAAGGAUUUGAGUUUUCUUGAAUAAAACAGUUUUCUACCCCUCGUGGUAGCUGGUUUUGAAAAAGAAUGGUUCCCGUGUGGGAAUCAGUUUUCAAAUUGAUUUUUCUGUGGUUUUAUGGAUUUAGUAUUUCAAAAUCAGUUUCCAGGUAGGAAACAUUUUAACUGAUAGAUGUGGAAUGUUACUCUUAUUCAAGUCUCAUAUCUGUGUGUGUGAAUGGAAUGGAUGAAUGUUAUCUAUCUUGUUGUUCAUCUGGUUGUGGUUGUGUGUGUACUUAUACUCUGUUGUACUUGUGCGACGCCGUGCAAAUACAGGGGAGACUCUGUCCGUGUGAACAGUGGAACUCCUGUAUUUGUGGCGGAUCUGGCACACUCUGGGGUCAGAUUUUCAAAAAAAAAAAUUUUAGACGCUUUUCCGCCUACCUUUUAAACUAAAAGGGACCCCGGGACGUGACAGAUUAAAGUGGUAUCAGAGCCAAGUUACAACUACAACCCCAUUCACAGACUAUUUUUUUUUGAAAUCCAAAAAGGACUGAACCAUUGGUUAGGUUGACCCUAGGAAGACCUACGCUGUAUAGGCACGUGAGUGCGGGGUUUGGGCUCGAGUUCUGGUUGAUAGUAGUCGAGUUGGUUUUUCGAUUGACGGUGUUUCUGUUACAGAUGGCUCGUGGCAGACCUCCUCUUCGUGGACGUGGUGGUGGACGCGCCGCAGAGGGCUCUAUCAAUAGCCCUGGAGAGCAGACCCCGAGAGGCAGAGGCAGGGGCAGGGGCAGAGGGGAGCAGAUCGGCCCAGAUCAGCAGGGCGAUACUCGUACCCAGCAGCUCGAGGCUCAGGUAGCAGCGAUGAGGGGUCAGAUGACAGCCCUCACUGGGGCGGUUCAGCAGCUCCAGCAGCUUUUACAGCAGCACGCUGCAGCUGCUGUUCCCCCGGUACCACCCCCGACGCCGCCGGUUCCUGAGACAGCUGCCCCUCAGGUGGCGCCUGCAUAGGCGGUCCUUCCGACCGUCCCGAGGACGACGACGGCCACCACGACAAUUCCCACUGAGGGUGCUGAUACCCCAGCAGCGGAGGGCGCCCGUAUGCGGGCGAAGCUGAUUGAGUUCAGGAAGUUCGACCCGCCGAGAUACGCGGGGAAGAAGGAAGAGAAUGGAGUUCUCGAGCGCUGGCUCACCGACAUGGAGAAACUACUUGAGGACUUAUUCAUCGAUGAGCAGGACCGCGUCCCCUUGGCCGCCCACUUUCUGGACGGGGACGCAAGCUCUUGGUGGCGUCGACAUCUAUCGCUCAAGCUGGGCAAUGUUUUCCCGCCCUGGGGGGAGUUCCGGAGACUCCUCCACGAGCAAUUCUUUCGGGACAACUCAAAAUUGGAGCUGGAGCGCGAGCUAGAACGUCUUCAGCAGGGGAGCCGUACCGUAGCUGAGUACGAGCGGGACUUCUCUCGCAUUGUGGAGCUGAUUCCCUUCGUCAUCCGAGACGAGCGCCACAAGGCGAGAGUCUUCGCGAGGGGCUUGAGACCCAACAUCAGGAUGCUGCUGGCUUCUCAUGGCACGAUGACAUUUGAUGAGUGCUUGGACCGAGCCCUCGUCAUCCAGAGCGAGUCUACCGAGGUCCGAGCUGCAAAGGAGGCCUCAGAGCGAUCGGGGGACAGGAAGCGUUCCCAUUCUAAGACUGGUGGCGGCUCCUCUUCCAACAGCAACCGGCCACCAAAGCAUCCUCGUACUCAGCAGUCGACGGGGAGCGCGCCUUCGCGUAGUCAGCGACAGGGAGGACGAUCGUGCGUCAUCUGCGGAAGAUCACACAAGGUGACAGAAUGCCCGCAGAGGAGAGACCACUGUUUCCGCUGUGGCCAGCAGGGCCAUCGACAGGCGCAGUGCCCUAUGAGAAAUGGGGCCACGCAGAGCGCCGCUUCCUCCCCAGCAGCAUUCCGACAGGACCGAGGAGCUUCCAGCGCAGCUGCACCGUCUGGGCGUCCCUCUUCUUCACGACAAAAUGAGGGGGCGCGUCAGGCAUCUAGUGGACGGGUCUUCGCCCUGACUCAGCACGAGGGCAACACUGGUGGCGACGUCCUUGCAGGUAUUGUCACCCUCUCCAUCACUCGUGCUAGAGCUAUAUUCGAUACUGGAGCAUCGCACUCAUUCAUUUCGCAUUCAUUUGCAUGUGAGCAUGGUAUUUCCUCGCGUCCACUAGACGUGCCGCUCCGUGUUGACACGCCCGGAGGUGAUCUAUUAGCUGAUCGGUGCAUCCUAUCUUAUCCUGUCGUCUUGGAUAAUCGAGGUUUUCUAGCGAACCUGGUGGUACUUCCGAUGAAGAAGUUCGACGUGGUGCUUGGGAUGGACUGGUUCACCAGGCACCGCGCUACUAUCGACUGCGAGCGGAGGACGGUGACAUUUAUUUGGCCCGGUGAAGAGAAUAUUGUAUCGAGGUGUUAAGCUCUUAUUCGCGCAGUUCGUUAUCUUUCUGCUAGAGCUAGAGGCUUAUAAAUGCCAUGUGUGCCUUUUGGGCGUUCGUUGGAUGUCACCAACGGGCUGCCGCCUUGGGGAGAUUCAGUUUAGGAUUUUCCGAAGUUUUCCAAGACCGAACUUCUGGGAAUCCCCGGACGCAAAUCGAGUUCUUUAUGGUAUUCGUGGCACAGCACGAUUCGAAGGCCCUAUACAUGCUUGACUGAGCUGAAAGAGCUGAAGCUAAUGAGGAUUCUUGGGAAGGAUUUACGACCAGGUUGUGUUCAUGGGUGCCAGGUUUCUUUGUCAAAGAGGAUGGUCGAACGACAUAUUCGACUGCAUGCAGACUAGCGAGAAGCUAACAAAUCACAGUGAGAAGACAAGUAAUCAUGCCCCGAAUUAGACGAUCUCUUUGAUCAGCUUCAGAGUUUCGUCGCGUUAUUUUAACGUCGACCUUCAGUCAGUACAUUCAGACUUAAGAUCGGCAGAAGACGUGCCGGAAGACGUUUCGACUCGUUACGUAUAACGAUUUCACCAGGGAUGAUGCCUUCGGUUACUAAUGCCGGACAGCCUUCCUCAUGGUGAUGAUGCAAUAGUUUUCGGGAGUACUUGGAUCAGUUUGUCGUGUAUUUAUUAGAUGUAUCCUGUUACUGUCGGUAGUGGAUGAGUAGCACGGAGGAUCAAUCUCGGCGAGUAUCAGAUACUUCGAGAGCACAAUUUAUGCUAAGCUCAAUAAGUGGAAUUCUGUCUGCGAGGGUAUGUUUUCUUGGGGAAUAUUGUGAGUCAUUCGGCAUUACUGUGAUCCGAGAAGUACCUUCGGUGUUGAGUGGCUAGGCGAUUCAGUGACAGAUCAGGAGUUUUCUGGUUUUGAGCGGUUAAUAUAUUUAAGCGAUUUGUCGAGGGCUUUUUAAGAUCGCCGCACCGCUACAACUCAGAAAAGCGGAACAUCAGUGGACGCGGCAACAACGGCUUGAUGGCGAAAGGACUCGACUGACCGCGCACGUCUGACUUUACGCAGCGGCGUGAGGACUUUGUGUUCUAUUGCGAUGCCUCAAGGGUCGUUUGCGGGUGCGUGUUUAUGCAGAAGAUUGGGAAGGAUAAUUCUACGCUAUCGUCGCUAAAGCGUAUGAAAGAAUUAUCCAAUGAUUUGGAACUUGCACAGUGGUUUUGCCUUAAGCUGUGGAGAAACUAUUAUUAUGGGGCACAUCCGAGGUGUUCAUAUUAUCAGAGCUGAAGUACUCUUCACUCAGAGGGUUGACUUCAAGCAGAGGCGUUGGCUCGAGCUCUUGAGACUAGCGAAUGUCACCUACAGUAUUAUCGGGAAAGGGAUACGAGUAGGCUGAUGCCUUGAGCCGAAAAGCCUUCGGUGAGAGUUGACCUUCCUUGUCACGAGCGAGGAUCGUUGUGGGAGAAGAGUUUUUCGCCGUUCUUGAGAUCGAGGUUGUUUCACAGAGCUACGCCCAGUUGAUGUCUCUGGUGUAAGCUGCCUGACAGACGAUUACACUGCGAAGAGAGUGACCCGUACUUAAGUAAGUACGGGCGGAGACCUCUGAGCAGUCGGCAGGACAAGAGGAUUCAAACAUCCCCGAUGAUCUUGGUUUCAUAGCAGGAGUGGUUGUGCAUAUAAGAGGAAGAAGAUAUCCUUAUCCGAGCCAAAGACGAUUCAAAAAACAAGGCUGCCAUCUGUCCCCUAACAGUUUCACCAGAGGAACAAAGAUGUACUGCGACCUAAAAAGAAAUUUCUGGUGGCAUGGGAUGAAGCUAAUGUGGCUAAGCACUGCUCGGUGUUUAUUUUCAGGAGUAUAGCGAGCACCAAGCGCGGCAGGGAAGCUUGCAACCAUUACCCGAUCCCGUUUGGAAGUGGGAGCGUCACUAUGGAUUCGUCACUGGAUUGCCUCGAUCACCAGUCGAGGGCAUCGAUGCGAUCUGACUUUAGUGGAUCGACUCGAAAUGGCUAUUCCUACGAUGUCACACGACGUACGUCCGUGAUCGAUGCACAGUUGUAUAUUGAACGAGAUUCCAGGCUUCAUGGGUGCUGUCGAUUGUAUCUUGAUCGGGACACUCGGCUUCGUUUCCCACUUUUGGAGGAGCUCCAGCGGCUAUGGAACGAAAGCUGAACUUCAGUACAGAAUUCAUCCCCAGAAGUGAAGGAUCAGUACGAGUAUCCAGAUUUGAGACUGUUCGCGCUGUGUCUGAUUACGCUGGAUGUUUCGAUAUCUACUACUUGUGGAGUUCGCUAUAUAAAGCUAGCCGGGAGCAUCGGGAUGGCAUCUACGAGGCUUUAUAUGGCCGCGAUGUGAUUCUAUCUGUUGGAUGAGUGGGAACGCGUUUGAUGGGCAGAUAGUGGAGAUGCUGAGGCAAGUUGAUUGCGAGGAGAGCGAGGUCUUCAGUGACGGUCACAGAGAGCUAACGCGGUGAUAACGGCAGGGUGGACUAGAUUUCAGUCGGUGAGCAUAUUCGCUCAGUGUGUCGGCCUUCAGGCGGGAUCAUAGGUGUUGUGUUUGGAACAAGUUUAGUCUCUCGUUUGUGGGUUUGAAGAUCCUUGGAGCGCUUGCUUGGUCAGUGGUACAGUGGAUAUCUCCAAGUCUCGCGUGUGUAAUGCUUUCACGUGUCAAUGCUUCGGAACUCAAUUCCAGAUCGGUCUACCAAUAUCAGAUUCAACGUAUAUUAGUAGGGAGAUCUGAGCUAUGGGAGGUCCGAUGAGAUUCUGGGUGAGGUGAAGCAAUAAGAAGGAAGCAUUCAUUAUGUAAGGUUCAGGUGGCAAUCUAUGAGUCGAGCUUGGGCUAGCGGGACUUGGCUUAUCGGAAGAGUGAUCAUUUGUUUACGGGAUGUUUUAAUUUAGUUUGGACGAAACAUAUUUAUGUAAGGGGGAAUGAACUGAAUACUGAGAUUUUUAUUUAUGAUUAACCUUUUGUUUGAUGAUGUUUUUGUGUAAAUAUAAUUAUAGUAGUGUACUCUGUCAAAUUUCAGGAGAAAUCGAGUAUAAAAACGAGAGAAAGUUACGCGUACCGGAAGUUCGAUUAGUGAAUAGUACUCGGUUUCCGGAAUGAACGGGCGCGGAUAGGUGGACUUUCGGGGACGGAUGCCGAUAUAGCUUACGAUAGUCUGUUUUCACGCAGUGAAUUCCUGGAGCCAAUGGCAUAGAAUUGAAGUCUUGUUAUGCGACGUUGUCGAGAAAAGGAGGUUUAAUGGAAAUUACAAAAUGGUUAUUAUGGGUGGAAUCAUAAGAGAUCGGGUUUUGACGCUGAAUGGAGACCAGAAUUCGGACAAUAGUUAAAUUGCUAGAUUCGAUGCCCAGUUUGCGAACGCCGCUGGCGUAAUCCGGUCGGAAUCCGACGUCGAUUUGGAAUCUGUAAAAGUUGCUAAGAGGCAAGUUGGCAAACGAUUAAUCAAAAAAAGGUCAAUUUUUAUGCGCGAUCUUCGCGAGAUUCGAAUUCGAGAGGACUCUUACGAUUUUCCACAAAAUUCGGCAGGGGUUGGGAUAAAAAGGGUGGUAUGGGACUAGCGAGGGUUUUCUACAAUUAGUUAUAUAUAUAAUUGUCACGGUUUUAGGUUUCGGUAAGGAAACCCUAACCUAUCUUCCAAGCUGCGUCUAACCACCCACUUUCUCACACCGACAUGCAACUAUGUGCAGCUCGAGCCGACGGCAGGCUGCUACUGGCGCUGGCAAAAGUACCCGGCCACCUCUUAGCUCUCCAUAGCUCGACUGCCAUAUUUUUUGUUUGUUGAUGCUGGAGAAAGCAUAAGCCGAGCUCACUCCAUCGACGUCUUUCUUAGGCUCAUCCCGUCGAGGCGACCGUGCCAGCCUCAGCCCGCGAACACCAUGCUCCUGCGGCAGGGGACAGGACCAAGCCGGGCCAACCCGACUGCGGCUGUGCAACCAUCAUCUUCGGCCGCGGCCGUCUCAGUCGCCCCGGGCGACAUCCAGGCAACCCGGCGUGUUCCCUGCGUCCUCAACGACGACCGGCCGCCCUGACCCCCGAGCCCGACUAUGCGCAGCGUCGACCUGAGCCGUCGUACGAUCGCGUGUUGCCGCGCACGUUGGUGCACGCUCCCUUCGACCUCCGGGCCGAACGUCGCCUCCAGACCUCCUACCGGCCGCGCCGCGCGCGGAGAAUCAAACCCGAGAGGAAGUGGAAGGGUCGAUAUCGGCGCGCACCCGGUUGCGCCCGCGCUCGGCAGACCUCAAGAACUCCGGACGAGUGUCCUCCCUCGCCGGACGCACGCUCCCGGCCGCCGGGACAACCCUAGCUUAUCCUCGGGUUGGUAAGGGUUUUUAUGUCAUAGACUGUUUUUUCGAAGGUCGAUCUCUUUUCGGUGAAUCCGAUAGUCCUAGCUUGGAAGUGAGCACGAUUAUACAUCGUGAACUGAUCGUGUCACCUCCAACAGCGGCAAAGAGGCCUGGUUUGUGAGUUGUCUUUACGAUUUGCGCUGUGCGCGCGUUUAUCUGAAUUUAAUCGUCGUGGGCACCGCAGUGGCCGACAGUGCUCCGAAAGGUGAGCACGGCCUCCGACAUGCUGAAACCUGUCAGCGAGUACGGCGGUCGGAUUAAUCGACCUCUGGUUUGCGUGCACGGCCCAUAAAAGCCUAGAAAUCACAUGAAAUGAUGCGAUUUCAUGUAUCGGUAUGGGCUUUUGGGUUUUCUGCUUCGUUGUAGAUAUCGUUGGCAGCAUGUUUGGGCUGAGGAUAACCUCUGGACUGAUCGUCCAAGGCCCCCAAGCCCUUGCGGAAAUCAAAAGUGAUUUCCGGAGCGUUUUUUGGCGAAAUCCGCCGAUAGAACGCGUUUUCGAUUCGGAAUUCUUCCGAUGGUUCUUGGGGAUCAUUUGUUUCGUCGCUGAGCCCUGUUGGCUGGUCACCUGCAUCGUUUCGUGGGUUUAGAAAUGACAGGUGAGCGACGGUGAAGUUCCGGUGCGGUUUUCGGGACUUCCGGCUUAUUCGGUAAUCGGUUUUGGGAAACCGGUCGUGGUUCUGGUUAGCAGGGGUUGUGAGUUAGUAUUACAUGACAAUGGGUUAGAUUUUAACCCAUUGGACCUUUCGUAGGUUCGCUUGCACGUCUUCACAGUCGAGAGACCUUCGUCGGAUACGUACAGGUGGGUACUUCGACCCGUAGUCGGUACAGUGGUGCACGCUCGGUGACGUCUCUUCACCCCUACUGUCUACUUUAUCUUAUAGUUAUAUUGAGCCUUGCACCUGCAUUUAUAUCUACAUUCCUCUACUCAGUUAUUUCCAUGUUGAUAUCAUGCUUAGGAGUAGAGUUGACUUAUCUGUUCACUAUCAGUGAUUUGGUUGGGCGGUUCCCCCUAUUUUGAUACCUAUGACCUAUUCGGUUGAGUUGCUACAGUUCCAUCUUGACUUACGUAGCCGAUUAGUUGCUGAUGGCCUAUACGGUCGGUGUGCCCUGAGGGGCCUGGAUUGUCGGCUAGUUGCCGAUGGAUGAUCUUUGAGCAUACUACAUUGAUCGCCACUACAGGUACGCAUUUCACGAACACCAGCGGUCUGAUCCACCGCAAGAGGGUGUUCUUUUCCGGAAAAGUUGUUGGAUUGCCAACCCGUGAGCCCAGAGGCUUCAUUGCGAGGGUAUAUGCUUCUGACCCAGGGGCUUCAUUGCGAGGGUCAGGUACAGGUUGCAGCAGCGUGGCAUGAGCCUGAGGUCUCGGACCAAUGGCAGCGAGAUUGGGUACUUUUUGAGCUUUUCGUCAGUGUGACGAUGCAUACAGUAGCUGUAGUGUUUAUUCCAGUAACCCUUAUCUGUUUAAUUGUAGCUCACUGUUUUACUUACCUGCAUCUAUACUUGUCAGUCUCCUUACUUAUCAGCAUAUUCACUUAUCACACUUAUAUCUAUCUAGUUUCCCCGUGACUAGUGAGUACCCUCGCCUCUACGGCUUGCGGGUACCUCAUUGGGAGGGAGACAUGUUUACAUGUUCUCACCCCCGCCCCUUUACACGUGACGUACAGUCCGAGUGGGACAGCUGGUGGGAGCGUAUCUAGCUUGCGAUAGAGCUCCUUCCCGAGUCGGUUAUUCCUUUUACCCUUCAUGCUUAGAUAAAUACUUAGACAUAUUAUGGUUCAGUUCUAUUUUAUUAUCUGACUAUCUGUGGUUUUCAAUUGGUUUCGAAUGUACUAAAGGAUGCGUUGGCGCUAACUAUUAAUCCAAAAGCUCGAGCUGUUAGAAAUACCAAACCAACUUCACUUAAAGCGUACAGAAACAGCGCCUACGGGUUCGAUUGUGACUCGCCACCUGGCCUCACGCCACUUCGAACAUGACUUGGCCCAACCCAGCCUCACGCCAUUUCGAUCAUCGACUCGGCCCACAUGCUCCCAGCCACAGGCAGGAUGCUGGCCAUUUAAGCCAACAAUCCCCCUCCAGCACCUGCACAUAUUUGCAGCAUGCAGAAUCGAGACCUCGGUGACCUCUGGCUCUGAUACAACAUGAAACGAACCAGCCCCACUAGACAAUAUAACUCCGUUGGGCCCGAACCCACAGCCCAAAAUGCUUAAGCCCAGUUAUUAUUACUAGUAUCUAAGUCUCUUAUAAACCCAAUGACAACCCUAUUCCCAUCCGAUGUGGGACUAUUGGGGUGUCACAGACUCCCCCCGUUAAGGCCCUGACGUCCUCGUCAGUCCUCACACACACAGCCCAAGAUCACCAGGCUAUGUGAGACUCGUCUCGCUAGCCCGUCAUCCAGACCCUGGCUCAGCCGAGACUCGCCACACAUGUCCAGCUAGUGAACCAGCUCUGAUACCAAACUGUGACACCCCAACUUCCCAGGGGGUCACCCAUCCUAGGACUACUCCCGUCCUAGCACGCUUAACUCUCUUAACCUCUUGAGCCUUGCCACCACCCAAAAUGUUUAAGCCGGGUUAAGAGUUUAGCCAUAUUAUAUCUCAUAUAUAUGACUAUCUGGGGUCUCACAGUGUUGAUGGAGACGUCGGCAAGGGCAACGAGGGCAAAGGCGAGGCGGCGGAGAAGGGCGAAGGGGAUGUGGCUGAGGGCGAGGCAGUGGAGGUCGGCGAGGCGGCGAGGCAGCAAGCCGGAGGGAGGCGAAGCAACAAAGAAGAGGGCGGAGGGGUAUUUUCAGCAUAAAAAAAUAUUUUAUAACGGAACCCUAACGGUAGGGAAUGAAGUGCACAUUUUUUAUUUUACAAGGGGGCAAAAUGUAAGUUUUUAAAUGUCAGAGGGGAAAAGUGAAAAAGCAGGUUAUUACAAGGGAAUUUUCUGUAAUUUAGCCAUUUUUUUAUUUGAAAUUUUAUACAUGGCUAAUCUAGGUUUGAUCUAAUUGGCCCAACCAAUCAGGCUUUACAAUCUAUCUCAAGUAUAAAUUUAGGUAAAUUACCCUUCUAGCCUCCAAAUUUUUAUGAAAGUUUUACAUUGACCUUUGUUUUUUAAAAGUAUACAUAAGUCAAUCUUGAAUUAUCACAAACAUAUCAAAUUGACUAAUUUUAUCAUUUAAUGCUGAGUUCAAUAGCCAAAGGUGACACCGAGACUAGCUAAGUUGGGGCCGUUUGGCUUGGAUAGUGAAAAAGUAAUUUUUACAAAAUUGAUUUUGGUUUAGAGAAUUAAUUUUGAUUAAAAGUUAUACAGUGUUUGGCCGAGUUUAGAUAAAAGUAAUUUUUUUGAAAUGAUUUUAUAAAGCUGUUUGGUAAAAUUUUUUUUUGAUGUUUGCAUAUAUAUACUAAAUUUUAUUUUAAAAUAAUUUAAAUUUUAAAUUUAAAUUUAAAUUUAAAUUAAAAAUAAAAUUUUUAAUUUUCUAAUUUGUACAAAAUUUAAAUUUUGAUAUUUUAAUUUAAAAAAAUAAAUUUGAAAUUUGAAAAUAUAAAAUUUAAUUUUGAUUUUUUAAAUCUUAAUUGAAAAAUUGAAUUCAUAUUUAAAUUCUAAAAUUUAAAAUUUGAAUAUUUAAAUUUACAUUUUAUAAUUAAAUUUUAAAUUUCAAAACUUUAAAAUUUGAAUUUUAAAAAUAUGAUAUUUGAAUUUAAAAUUUUGAAAUUUAUACUUUGAAGAUUAAAACUUGUAAUUUUAAAUUUUAAAAUUUAAAUUUUAAAAUUUUUAAAUUGAAUUUUAAGUCUAAAAUGUCAAAAUUUAAAUUUUGAGAUAAAAUUUUAAAUUUGAAGAUUGAAAAUUUGAAUUUUAAAUUUAAAAUUAAAUGUUCAAAUUUUAAAUUUCAAAUUUCAAAUCUAAAUUUUGAAAAGUUAAAAUUUCAAGUUUUAAAUAUGAAAUUAAAAAUUUUAAAUAUGAAUUUAAAGUUAAAAUAAAAUUUUGUAGUUUGACUCCAAAAUCAAAAUCAGACUUCAAGAAGCAGUGUUGUUGCAUGGUUUGAUUCUUGUGGCCUUCAAAGUUAGUUUUCUGAUUCUGACUAGGGAUGUCAAUGGGUAUGGAUAUCCGAAUUUUAUCCAAACUCGAACCCGAAUAAACGAUAUAUCCGAUGGAUAUGGAUAUGAGAUUUAGAUAUGGAUAUCAAAAAUAGAAACCGACGGAUAUGGAUUCGGAUAUGAUUUUGAUUGUACCCGACCCGAACCCGAAACCCGACCCGAACCCGACCCGAAUCGAAUUUAUUUUUUAUUAUAUAUAUAUAUAUAUAAUAUAUAUAUAUAUAUAUAUAUAUAUAUAAUAUAUAUAUAAUAUAUAUAUAUAUAUAUAUAUAGAGUUGAGCUAGAAUACUCUCGAUAGUAAACGGAGCGUUUUACUAUCGAGUUGUUUUCGAUGAUCAGAGCUUCCAAAUUGACGAUCGGCUCCGUUGAACAUGAUCAUAUACCACUUGAAGUGUUUAGAAAUCAAAUUUCAAAUUUUUCGACAUCAUUGCUAAUGACAAAGGAUUUCAAAAUUGUAAUUUUAAUGGUGGAUAAGAGACGUUUUCUCGUUUAACGGUGUAAAGAUAUCCAAAUCAAUUGAAUUUUGUGUAGAAAAUCUUAAACUAUUUAUAAACAAGAUCUAUACUCUUGAUCUUGAUUACAGAUCCUAUCAUCAUUUUUUAAAGAAUAUUCAUUUUCAGCCAUCAUUUUUGUUCACUAGAUGGAUAAAAAGAACAAUAUCGAAAAGUGCGUGAAAUUUGAUUUCUUGGUAGUUUAAAUGGUUUAGACAUAUUUUAACGGAGCCGAUCGUCAAUUUGGAAGCUCUAUCAUCGAAAACAACUCGAUAGUAAAACGCCCCGUUUACUACUAUCCUCAGAACAUUAGUUCUAGUUCUCAUAUCUAGAACAAAAUUGAUGUUAUAUUUGAAUUUGUAUUUUAAAAAUUUAGGUUUAAUAUAAUAUAUUUUGAAAUAUUGAAAAAAGAAAUAAUUGUUUCGGGUUCAAAUUUUCGGGUUCGGGUUCGGGUUCGGGUUUCAGAUUUUUGAUCGGGUUCGGGUUUGGAUAUGGAUUUUUAAAAUCCGUCGGGUUCGGAUUCGGGUUCGGGUCUCGGGUUUGGAGUAAGGUUCGGGUUCGGGUUUUUAAAAAUCCGCCCCGAAUCCGACCAGUUGAUAUCUCUAAUUCUGACAAGCAAAAUCAGAUUUUUCAACACUUGUACCCAAUGCUUUACUGAGCCCAAAAUUAUCUUUGGCUCAGAAUCACUUUUCAGAAGCCGGGCCACAUGCCCCCUUGGUGUCUUGUUGAUAAAGCUCUACGCUAGAAGGUGCUAUAAUGGUUAAAUAUAAAACUAUUUAAAUAUUAUUUAUUACUAAUUUAAAUUUUUGGAGAUUAAUAAUUAUUUCAUAUAAUAUCAGAUUAGGAGAUUCUGAAUUUCAAUCAUGUCAGACUUGUAGCAUAAUUGAUUUUUUAUUAUUUAAUUUAAUUUCACAUCAUGGGCCUAACAAAAUAAUCUCGAGCCUAACUGUGACGAAAAUUGUUAAAUAUAAAAAUAUUUAAUACUGUUAUUUUUGAAAAAUAAAUACUUAUUGGACAGUUGUCAUUAAAAUUUAGGGAUAAAUAACCAAACAAGCGAAUUUGAUAUAUUGGAUGAGAAUUUGAAAAGAAUAUUAAUUUCAAUGAAGGGUCAAAGUAAAACUUUUGCUACCCAAUUUACCCCUUUGCUUUUGUCAAUCCCCAUGCAGCAGGUGACUUGAAUUCUAAUGAGAAUUAAUGUUAGCUCCACUUGCUCUGUCCUUAACAGCUGUGUCGGCUCUUGUUCUUUUCCACAUAUUAUUAACUCUCAAAUACCCACCGUCUCUAAAGCAAAUGAUAAAAGACUCAGAUAAUUGGUACUCAAUAUCAUAAGUUAGAAUCCUAAUUGAUUUACAUUUCUAGUUAAGUUUAAAAAUAUAAAAAAAAAGAAAAGAAAGGAAAAGAGAGUAAUAUAUGUUUUAUAAUAAAUUUUACAAACUACAAAAUAAUAGGAUGAUAAAUUGUUAUAUUUCAUCUUCACGAAGAUUGUAAAAUAUACUACUUUGAUCGUCUUUAUGGUAAAAUAAAAUUAAAACAACAGAAUAAUAAAGUGCAAAGUUGUUAAAGAAAAGUGCGAGACAGUAAAAACAUGCAAAAAAAAAAAAAAAAAAAUUAAAGCUUACUGUAAACAUAAUAAGGGAUGCACGUACGAGGACUCUCUAAGUUUAGGUUUGCCGAAAUACACUCUAAACUUUCAAUUUUACUAAAUUCAACAGUCACACUGGCAGUGUAUAUCUAUUAUUGAUGAUGCUACAAAGCUUCAAAAUACAAAAGAAGCUAUUUCUAUUCUCAGGGAUGAAACUAAGGGUGCGUUUGGUUCAGAUUAUCCUAACAGGAUUACAGAUAAUUCUGUCAGGAUUACUAUUUUUGGUUCAUCUGGUAUAUAAUCUGGUUAGUAAUGUAGCAUUACAAACGGUACAGAAUUACACAAAAAAUAUUACCGAGAGUGGGGUGUGUAUCUUGGAUUACUGGCUGCCAGUAAUAUUACAUAUUAUGCAAAAUGACAAUUUUACCCCUUUAACUUUCGAAACUCUUUCAAUACGUCAUUUUAAAAAAUUUAAUUUAAAGUUUUAAAUUGUGAACUUUUAAAAUUUAAAUUUAAAUUUUUAAUUUUUAAUUUUUAAAUUUUAAAUUUUAAUUUUUUAAACUUCAAAUUCAAAUUUUAAAUUUUAAAUUUUAAAUUUAAAUUUUAGAUUUCAAAUUUCAGAUUUCAGAUUUUAAAUUUCAAAUUUUAAAUUUUAAACUUCAAACCAUUUGAAAUCUAAGAUAUCUGGAUAUAUUAAAAUACUCUGUAAUAUUACAUAACUCGAACCAAACGCGCCCUGAAGUAUUAUGAUUGAAUAAUAAGGUGAAUUUAUUUUCAAUUUUUCAAGUAAUAGAACAAAAUUAAUAGCUGGUUUCACUGCAUUCUAAACUUUGACAAGGUCGCAUGAAAAAUAUUAUUAACUCUGUUUGUUUCACCGAAAAUAAAGUUCAGAUUAAAAUAAACUUUAAAUAAUAUAAAAAUAGAAAUGGAUUAAUAUUUUAUUAACUUUUUCUCACUUUUUUUUUUUCGUAGUUGACUUCGGUCACGUUUUUUUGGAGAACUUGAAUUUCCACGGAAGGUAAAAAGGUUAUGAUAAAUCAAACAUCAUGAGUGGACAUAUGCAAUCGAAAACUAUUUUAUUCUCUUUCUUUUGGGUGAAACAAAUAUGCUUUAGAGGGGCUAACUGAAUUAUUUAAUAAAAUUUGCAAAAAAAAUCCAAUUGCCACUAUUAAAGGUAUGUGUUUUAUUUAUUUAUUUAUUUUUUUGCAAAUAAUGAUGCACACAGCUAAUUCGGUGCUAUAGGCACAUGUGGGAUUGUUAACAACAAACACAUUGCUUACAAUGACAAGUCUAGGGCUGGCAAACGAGCGAGCCGGCUCGCGUUCGACUCGUGUUCGGCUCGAUAUUCGGCUCGCUCGAGCUCGACUCGAAAUUAAAUGAGCAGAGCUUGAAGAAAAUAAAAUGCUCGAAAUUCAUUUCAAGCCGAGCUUGAGUAUUACUCGGCUCGUUCGAAUUAGGCUCGAAAAGCUCGAAAGCUCGAAAAAAUAUACAUAUAAUAUUUAUAAAUAUAAUGUAUUUUAAUUAUAUAUGGAUUUUAAUUUAAUUUGGGCCAUUAUUAUUGACCCAUAAAAUAAACUCAACAAGUACAACUGUGCAAUUGAGCCCAACUCUAAAUUACAUAACACACUAUCUCUUUCAGACUUUCAUUGUUGCACAUAACUCUAAAACAUGAAAACAUUCAAAUUUUCAAAUCUCUAAUUUUUUCUCCCCCCUCUCUCUCUCUCUAUCUCUCUGACCCUCACCUAGUCAGACAGUCACCCUAACUUACAUUUCUUACAAUUAUUUUGUAUUUUGAACUAUUGAACAUGUUGCAUCAAAUUAUAGAUAAUGUUUUAUAAAAUUAAACUAUUGAUUAUAUAAUGUCGAGAAUUUCAAUCGGCUCAUUUAGAGCUUGAGCUUGACUCGACUCGAAAUUAGGCUCGCUCGAGCUCGGCUCGAAUUAAUUUCAAGCCGAACUUGAGUCUAGAUUUAGGCUCGAAAUUAAUUUCAAGCCGAAUUUGAGCUGACAUAAGCUCGCUCGAGCUCGGCUCGUUUCCACCCCUAGACAAGUGUCAAUCGAUGGGAGCUCACACUGUUUGUCAAAUGAGUCUUACUGCAGAGCAUGUCAUGAUGAUGAGUUCUCCCUACUUAAUCCGGGGCCCACCACCAUGUUGCUACCCAGUGCAACCACCUGGUGCCAGGCGCGCGCGUGGUCCCUCCUCUUCUGGUUAUGCCAAAUUCAGAAUUGGGUUGUUCAAAAAUAGUUGCCGAUAGGGAUAGGGAUUGCAAACGGGGCAGAUCCAGGGGGGGACGGAAGACUCUGCAAGUCUCUGGACCCGCUGAUACUGAAUCCGGCUCGCCCUUUCUCUAGCCUCUAUGACAGAGUGAAAAAUAUAACUUGUCUCGUCUAAGAAUUUAUAUUUCACACCGAUCGUGCCCAGUGCAGGUGGCAAAGAAUUUGAUGAUUUGUAUUCGAGGUUCCGAAUUUGAAUCUUAGUUAAUUCACAUUUUCAACUAAAUUUAUUUUUAAAUAAAAUAUAUGAAACGAGUAACAUGCUGCCUAUCUUUCUCAAAAAAAAAAACUUGUGUUUCAUCUGAGCUAAGGCCUUCUUUGGUCGUAUUAUUUUUUAAAAUAUUAAUUCUAUAAUAUUUUAAUGUAUUAGAGAAAAUUUUUCCUUUUAUUGGUUAUUUUACAAUAUAUUCGAUUAAAUGGAUAUUAAAAUAAAAAAAAAAUUAAUGUGCCAAAUAAAAAAAUGAUUGUUUUUGGAUGAAGAUGGUGUUAGCAAUAACAUUGCUCUUUGUUUAAGAAAAAUUCUACUUGUACAUUUUAGAGGGAUGUAGAUCUUACAUUUUUCAUUUUAAGAUUUAUAAAAUCCUAACCGGUUUCAGUUUGUUUUUAUAAAAAAGUUCAUGUGAAAAAUAUAAAAUAAUGGCUCAGAAUGAAAAGGUAUAAGAUUUACACGUUACUUUGGAAAAAGGUGUAACAAUAGUGUUGCUCUUUAUUUUUCAAAAAAUUAUUUUUAGAUUUUUAUUUUUAUUUUUUACUAAAUAAAGAUUUUGGGAUGAAAAGAUAGGAAGUAAUCAACUAUGGGCUCCUACAUUUUUUAUAACAAAAGUAUUUUUUUUAUUUUUACUCAAAGUUAAAUUUAAAUUUUUAUUAUUUUAAUUAAAAAAUAAAAAUAUAAUAGAGUAUCAUAAAAUCAUCUCUCUUAAAUCACACUUAUUUUAGAAAGAAAUCAUUUGAGGCAAGUUAUGAUAAGUAAUCGAACAUUUAUGCAUUGUUACCGAUACCGCUUGCCACGUUACGUUCCGCCUCUCAAGUCUCGUGGGCACCGCGCUCCACGAAUUCUCCCUUGGUGUGCCUUACUUAACGAGCCUAAGAAAUCAGGGGCGCGGAGUGCCACAGCAAAGCGAGGGUUAGGUGGACGGUCGAGAGCACGAGGUGUGGGCUUUCUCGCUAGGAGUGAUGGGACACGAGGGGCGUACGAGUUGGAUGCGAAGCACAGAGGUGCGAAGUAUUAUCACGCCCCGGGACCGCCUAUUUGGUCGGUUCAGGCACGUGCACAGAUCGCCGAACGGACAGAAUUUUUCCUAUCCGCCGAAGGCUCCACAGAACAAGUACAUCGAAUUUUCACUCAGAAAAAACAGCAUAAUACAGUUUUGCACGAGGGCAUAUCACAAGAGCAAGAAUGUAAUUUUGGAAAUGGGAAUGUAAUUGUAUUUGGAGGAAUCAUUCAUGUAUUAAUGUAAAGUUGAAUUGUGUGUAAACUGUGAAUAUUCCAAUGUUGUAGCCAGUGGCAUACAGGAUUGCUCUAUCCCUACGACUGGCCGGUAUUCAUGAUGUAUUCCACGUCUCGGCGUUGAGGAGAUACGUAUUUGAUCCCUCACACGUGAUUGACUUCACUCUACUUGAACUUGACCAGGAUCUGAGGUACGAGAAGCGACCGGUGCGGAUUCUUGCUGGAGAGACGAAAGAAUUGCGCAACCGGAUCAUCCCAUACGUAAAAGUGCAAUGGAGUAAUCACGAGAAGUGUGAGGCGACUUGGGAGCCGGAACGGUGAUGCAGGAGUUCUACUCCUACUUGUUUGAGGCUCAGGGUUGAGAUAUGUUUCUAAGUUUCGAGGACAAAAUUUUUUGUAGUGGGGAGGAUGUAGUGUCUCUGGUGUUUAGCGGUCGGUAUAAUUUCAGCAUCUGAGACUUGUCGAUACGUCUGGGGAGUGUCGCAACAAGUUGGAGUCGUUUGGCACGAAAUGGAUGCAAAACAGACUCAGCGCAGAGCGAGAGUGGAGUUUUGACACUGAAAUCUGCAAAGUGCAGGAUUUCAGUAUUGAGUACCGGUACCUGGGGAGAAGUACUGGUACCUCAGUGUGUUAGCAGAACUGGAUGCUCUCGAUUUGCGUAAAUCUGCUGCUGAGUACCGGUACCUGUUGUAGAGUACCCGUACCGAGCUCGGGUACCAGUACUGCAUCGGGCUGGUACCGGUACCCAGCGUGCAAGACCGCAAGUUGAGGGGUCGAGUACCGGUAUUCAAGUGGGGUACCGGUACUCCAGCUGUAUUUUUGAGUAGGUAAGGGAUAUUUUGGUCUUUUGAAGAGGCCUUCAACCCAACCUUAUUCUCAGCCUUUAUAUAUAUGUGUAGAGAGUUCAGAGAGGAGAAUUUCUUUGCUGCUUCCUCUCUCUCUCUCUAGUUUUGGACGUCGUUCGUGGUGGAGGUCGCGGCUUGAGCUCGAGUGAUUUUCGAUGUUGCUUCGGAGGGCCGUUCGAGCGCGUGGGCAUCGCAGUUGCGCCGUUGGAGUCCGGGUGAGCGGGUAGAUUUUCCCUUUUCGACUUCUUGCUGUUAUUGGACGAGCUUUUCGAGGUGGGUUAAUGUUUACCGAAAUCGUCGAAUUUCCUCCUAAGUCAGAAUUUUUGUCAGCAUGUAUGUUUUUGUGUAGUAUCAUGUUUAGAAGAUCAAUUCAUCGAUUUGCAUAGUUUUUAUGGAAUCUGAGUUUAGAGCCUUAAAUUCUAGAAUUAUUUUUACAUGUUGGACUUGGAAUUGACUUAGGAGAAAACCAAUAAACUCUACACUGUCAUUUCUAAACAGUUACCAGAUUUAGCUUUAGGAGUUAUUAUUAUUUUGUAUCGCCGCUAUUAGUGCAAGGUAGAUACCUAGAUUAGUGUAGCUGGAGUUUACGCUUGUGCUAGGAGGCUGAGCUCGUUUUACAGUUAUGUGUAGACUGUUUCGUACUGUCGGGUGCUGUUGCAGUUAACGAUGGACCCAGAUUCCGUAUCUUGCAUCAGAUUGUGCCAAAAGCACGUGAUCUUUGGUUGUUAAACCAGUGAGACUUUUUUCAUUGACUACAGCCUGUGAGAGCCUGAUUGAGCUCGGCAGAGAUACGCUUGCAUACUCGGUUGGGUCGUUCCCAUAAGUGCCGUUCCGGAGUGAGACUUUUACUUGCGUUGUAUUGCAGCCGUCCUGGUUUGGACCGUUUGCUUAGACCGACCACUGUUAGAAAAUUGCGUACGGUAAAAACGCAGCGGAAAAAGAAAUCAAACAAAUUUGAUUUUUGAAAACUCUCGAGAUCAAAUCUCAAAACCACGCAAUUAGGAUCCCUUAUGUUCUUUAAGAUUAACGGAGAAAAGUAAGAUCGAAUCAUUACCUUUUCGCGGAUAAAUCCUUACCUCAAUUUGAUGAUCGUGGAAUCGGGUUCUCUUGAAGCCGCACACGCGUCCGGCCUCUAUAGGUAUCCACACGAGGUUCUUGAUUUGAUCGAUGUCCUCACCGGGGUGCUAGCUCCCUUGCAAAAGGACGUCUUUCUUGCUAGAAGAUGGAAGAGAGAAGAGAGGAUAGAUGACGGCUUGGGUUUUCUAAAAACUCCCGUAUAUUAUAUAUAGGAAUAUAAUCCUAUUCCUAAUAAUAUAAUGACAAUUAAGGAUAAGUAUAAAUCUAGAUUUAAAUUUAUCUUUUCCUUAAUUGGUUAGAUCGAUCAAAUCCUAAUUUGAUUCGACUUGAAUUUUAUAUUAAUUUGAUCUUAUCAAAUUAAUAAUGCAACAUUUGCACAUAAGUCCUCUUAUAAUUUACUAACUAUUAGUAAGUCCUCUCUUGUAACAUUUACACUUUAAUACCACUAAUUUGUAACAAUUACAAAUUAGUCCAAUUAUCAACAUAUUGACAAUUAGGUCCUCCGGCGAUUCAAUAAUCGCGAUCUAGCUAUCCGAUCAAUCACAACCUCUUAUGUGUGUGACCCCAUAGGUUCUAUUCUAUCUGGUAGUGAGAUAUAUUUUGAUCACUAUCAACAAUAUCACUGAAACUCCUUUCAGUGGAUCGGAACAAUUCCAACUCAGCCCAAUGAGAAUUAUCGAUCAUCUAGAUAAUUCUCAUGAGUCUCACAAUCCACCAGUGACGCCUAGCAGCAUGUAGUGGCAUUCCAGUAGAAUGGAAUACUGAACCUCUUGGUGCAGUUACCGUGUGAUACAAUCCUUCUAUCAUGAGUCCCGACUAGACGGAGGUUAUGGAAUAACUCGUCAAACCCCAUCGUCUGUCAUAUGUUAAAUUUAUUCGACUCGAGUUUCUAAUAUCGGAAACCCUUUUCCGCUAUUUAUUCUGCCCUGGCCAAGGUCUUCUAAACUCGGUCUCAUAAAUCACAUAGGACUAACACCCCUAUCUACCAAGGGAGAUAGAUUCCAUCUGAGUGCGCACCCUAUUCCUACAAUGAACCUACUGCAGCCAACAUGCACCGCAAGGACCCGAAUGGCUAGGGACCAAGUGUAUGUACAGUCAAACUACAGUAACCUCAUUGUGAAUAGCCGAGGCACCGCAGGUCAAAGGACCAGUCACACUACUGCAACAAUUGAGUAAGUCACUGACGAGUGAGUAGACAUCCAAGUGACUUCUCGCGUUGGUCACGCUCGGUACCCUUGUUCUCUAACAACCACCUGCAUAUUCGCUUCAGUGUCCCCACACUGUCGACUCGAGACUCGUCUACCCAAAAGGGAAGCGACCUAUGCACUAAUCUCACCGGAUCAAUCACCGUCCCCGUGAUGAUCCAUUGAUCGGGAGCAUUUAGGAAUUAAUCACCAAUGACACAUGUCUCAAAUUCUCAACUCUUGAGAAUAUAUGUCAUCAUCUUAUUAAUUCCUUGGACGAUUCAUGGACACAUACACAAUAUGAAUGAAAAUAAAAACCCAAAGUUAUUCAUAAUAUUUUAAAAUCAAAUACAAAAUUAUGUCCUAGAAAGAAUACAUGUGUCGGCCUGGUUGGCUUCUAGGGCAUACAUCUAACACCAUCCCCGUGGGUGGUGUACGAUGCGGUUUGGUUACAGAUAGGGUGGGCCCAUUUGGGCAGUCCCAGUAAGAUUGGGUCAGUAUGAUGCAUAGUUAUAUCUGCAGAUAGAUUGUAUUAGUUAGCGAUAGUAUAAUGACAUGUAGCUGUAGAGUUCUUUCCAGCUUUCUUUACUAUCCUUUGUGCAUAUUUCUGUAAACUUACUGGGUGGGCCGUUGAGGUCGGUGGCGGUACCCACUGAGAACUAUUCUGUUUUGCAGUAGUUCUCACACCUAAUUGCUGACCCCCUUUUUAUAGAGUCUUCGUCUGCGGUUGCUGCUAUUGCGAAUUCGGACCGUGGGAAGGGAGUUGCGAGCUAGAUCCCUACCAGUCUUAUCGUCGUGCUAGAGGAGUACCAUCUAGAGAUAGUUUUGGAGUUUUCUUUGUACAUACGUUAUGUUGUCGUUGAUAGAUUAUUUCAUAUGAUUUUACAUAUGGAUAGAUUUUCUUUCAUAUGGAUUUACAUAUGGAUUGAUUAUUUCUUUGUACAUAUCUAAACUAAUGAUUUAAAACCUGAGUGGAUACCCGAAAUUUUCUUUGUACAAAGAAAUUUGAUUGUUUGAUUAUUUGUACAUAUAAUCUUAACAACCUGAAAAUCCUAAUAAUUUAUCCAUAAAUCCUAACAAUCAAAUAAAAAUUCUAAUAAUCUACCUAUAAUCCUAACAAUCUCACUUUUUUCUAUUUUCUAUCUAACAACCUCACUUUUUCUUUUUUUUAUAUGAUCUACAUAUAAUUCUAACAAAAAUGGUGAAUCAUUAACCACGCAUUUCAGAAAAAAACCUACGUUAUUCCGAAAAAUCCUACGUGAUUCCUACGUGGCGAAGAGAAAAUUAAUUUGUCAAAUAUAAAUUUGACAGAAUUAUUUUAUAAAUUAUAAAAUUUUAAAAAGUUAUUUUGUAAAAAAAAUCCUCCGGCCAAUUUUAAAACUCCGAGAAUGAGUUGGAUUGGCAGUCCUAUUACCGAUUGAUCAUUCCCAAUGGACACCGGGUGAUCAUUCCUAGUGGACUUAGGAGUGUUUGGUUUCAAAAAUAUAUGAAUAGCUAUUUUUAAGAAAAAAAUAUUUUGUUCAUAGGAUUUAUUUUUCGAAUUAAAAAUAAAAAAAAACACAUUUUUUUAUAAAAUUUGAAAAGAAAAACUUCUAUAAAAUUAUUUUUUCUAAAAAGUAUAAGUUUUAAAAGUAUUUAGCUAGAAAAUUAGUUUUUAAAAUAUUUUUCAAAAAUCCAAACACCCUCCUAUCAAUGGUCGGCAAAUAUCACACUGGGUACCAUGAGAGGAGGAAGUCUACUACAUAGUAGAUACAUCACAUCAUCUAUAUUCAGCUAAUCGCAGUUGUUUUUUUAGAAAAAAGUAUAGUAAAAUUAGUAUGGGUAAAUCUUAAGAUAUCGUUUGAUUCAGAAAUAAGAUGUUCUUAGUUAUUCCUAAUAUAGGUACAAUUUUUGAAAUAAGUAGGAAUAAGAUCAAUUUUGCGUUUCAAUAAAAAUUAGAUUGUUUUCGAAAAUAAAAGAAAAUAAUGUUUGGAUGGUUAGAUUGGAAUAAUAAGAAUAAAAAUAAUUAUAGUUUCAAAAUAAUAAUAUUUCAGCUAAUUAAUUAAGGUAAAAAAUAUUAAUUUAUUAAUAGUUUAAUUUUAUUAAUUAAUUUAUCAUGAAUAUGUUAAAGAUAUGCCUUCUUUUUUAUUGAUUUGGUUAAUACACCGGAUUUAUGGAAAAAUAGAAAGGAUCCCAUGAGGAUUUAUUUUGGUGGAUCCUAAUUUAAAUUGGAAUCCUAGGUGGACUAGGAUUAGUUUUCCAUAUAAUACUCUAUAUUCAAUAAUCAUAUUGAACUAGUGUAGAGACCCGCGCGAUACAGCGGAUAAACAAUAGAAGCAAAAUUUUAAACUUUUAAUAAAAUUUAUAUUUACAGCUUAUUGAUGUAUAGGAAGCUAUAUCAUGUUAAGUAUAGUCAAUUUGCAUGACUAAAUUCAGCAGCUAAAAAAAUAAAAUUAUAGUUAGAAGCUUAUAUAAUUUUUUUUAAAAUCAUCAAAAUACAGUAAGAGACAUACAAUUUUAUCGUAUUAUGUGCCUAUUGAACAUUCCAUUGUGAAAGAUAAAAAAGAGUUAGCUCCAAUGCAGCUGAAUCAACCCAGCGGACACUUAUAUGGGCCGCGGCUCGACUUUGCGGGACGAUACUUCUUGAAGGAGACAACGUUCUUUAUAUGUUCUUCUUCUUCUUCAUCAUUCUUAUCAUUUUUAUUAACACAAUGAGAGAGAGAGCUAGAUGAGUAUGGGGUGGGAGAUUAGAUGAUGAUAUUCUUUUUUGCAUGGAAAAUAACAGGCCAUGUAAAAGAGAGGGGGGCGGGGGAUUAAUAGAGGUGAGGAGUGGAUUGGAAUUACAAAGCCCACUCAUUGAUAGAAUAUGAUGCAUAUAAUUAAAUAUUGUAUUUUGGAUUAAUUAAUUAUCAUGAUUUCAAAGAACUGAGGAGGUUUGAGGGAGAAGAGGGAGAAAUAGAAAUAACCAAUAUUGAAGAGAAAAAUAAGUAACGUAUAAAUUAAAGAGUGCAUUGAUUAAAUGUUAUUGAAUAGAGAGAAGGGGAGAGGAAAAGCCAAGAUCAUUGAAUAGGAGGUGAGGUUGAAAGAAAACUUGCCACGUGGCAAAAACAUUGGGAAUUCAUAUAUGUUAAUAGAUUAGAGUAGGAUUGAGCCAAAUCCCUCUCUAUAUAUACAUGCAUGCCUAUGCAACUGGUUGGAGAGGCGUCAUGUGUGAGAAAAUUAAUUAGCAUCGGGCUAAUUAAUUCACAAGCUUCCGGAGGUGUACGGCAACAAGGAAGGGGAGUCGUGUAGAGGCCAAAUUAAUUAGCACCCCGGCGUCAUGAACCGUACGGUUCUUGGUGGUGCAUGAGGCUUAAUUAAUUAGUAUGCAGUGAAGCUAAUUAAUUAAGGUGGCCGGCUCUCUUCAUGUAUGGCCGUACGGUAGCAAGAGAAGGAGAUGCGCGGUAGCACGCAUGCGACGGAUUGACGUUGGCGGCGGAGCGGCGGUUCUCAACCAAUUGCCUGAGCGGUUCGGAUUCUUCAAAGCAACGGCAUAAAGGAAUUUGGUUAGAGUUUUCUAUACUUCUCUAAUUUGGUCUUCUCGGUUUUACGAAAAGCUUUUUCGGUAUUUUCUUAGAGUUUUCGUUGGAACAAGAAAUGUGGAAUUCACCAUAAGAUUCUUGGUUUUUAUCCAGAGAAGACAUAAGGUGUAAGUUUGUACUUCUAUUUUUUCAUAUAGUGGAAUACAUCUCUCUCGCUCUCCCCGUGGACGUAGGCGAUUGCCGAACCACGUAAAUCUUGGUUUCUUCUUUCUGCAUUUAUUUCUUUUACCGUUCGUUCGGUGUUUUCUCUAUUUUUCGUGCAUCUUUGUUGGUAGCACAUGACGGACGAUCCAUCCGGUUCCCAACAGAAUACUACUAGAUAAUCAUAAAUAUUAAUUAAUAACUUAGUUAACCACAAGUGGUUUAAUAAAUUAAUAAAUCAAUUUACCUAAUUAUUUAAUAGUUAGAUAAUUAGUUAAAAAAUAAUUAGAUUAGUAAAAUAUUAAUUACUUAAUUAAAUAUUAAUCAGAGUAAUAAAUUGAGUGGUUAAUUAUUUGUUUAGUUAAUUAAUAAAUUAAUUAAUAUAUAGUACAUUAAUUAUAUAUAUUUUAUUAUUAAAUUAGUAUAGUUAUAAGCGGAGGAAUUGUUGUUUCACUAAACCGUUGAACUAGGAAUUUUUUCUUGUAUUUGGAAAUAAAGAGGGAAAUAAAACCCUUAUUCUCCUUAUUUCCCUUCUUGUUCUAUAACCAAACAAUACCUAACGAAAUAAUUUGAUUGGUUCGAAGUAACACAUCACUAGGAAUGUCAAUGAAUCGGAUUCUGAAUGGAUUUUCAAAAAUCAGAACCCGAACCUGACUCCAAAUACGAAACCCAAACCCAAAUCCAAACGCAACGGAUUUUAAAAAUCUAUAUCUAAAUCCGAACUUGACAAAAAAUUUGAAAUCUGAACCUGAACCCAAAAAUCUGAACCUAAGAUAAUUAUUUCUCUUUUCAAUAUUUUAAAAUAUAUUACAUUAAAUCUAAAUUUUUAAAAGAAAAAACUUCAAAUACCUCUUCAGUGAUUUUGCACUUUCUCACUUUAGUACCCUAUGGUUUAAAGUGUACCAAGUUAGUACCCUAUGGUUUUGCACUUUCUCACUUUAUCAAGUUAGUACCCUGUGGUUUCGUACUUUCUCACUUUAGUAUCCUGUGGUUUAAUAUUUUAUCAAAUUAUAUAAAAAAAACUUCAGAUACCAUAUCUAGGUUUAUCGAAUAUUCAUUUUAGUAUCCUUUAGUUUUAACUUUGUUACUAAUUUAACAAAAAAAAACCCCGAAAUGGAUAAUAAAAAGAGAAAAAUAAAACCACAAGAUACUAAUUUGAUACAAAAAUGAAACCAUAGAGUACUAACUUAAUACACUUUAAACCACAUGGUAUUAAAGUGAGAAAGUGCGAAACCACAUGGUACUAACCUGAUCAUACAAUUUAAACCGCAGGGUACUAAAGUGAAAAAAUGCGAAACCAUAGGAGGAUUUUUGAAGUUUUUUUUUUAAAAUACAAAUUCAAAUAUAAUAUCAAAUUUUUAUAUACAUAUUAUAUAUAAUGUAAAUAAACAAAUUCGGAUUCGGGUCGGGUAUAAUCAAAUUAUAUAUCCGAAUCCAUAUCCGUCGGGUUUUUAUUCUUGAUAUCCGUAUCCAAAUCCAUAUUUGCUUCGAUCGGAUAUAUCCGUUCUGUUCAGAUUCGAAUUUGGAUUCGCAUAAAAUUUUGAAUAUUCAUAUUUAUUGAUAUUUCUACACUCUACAUGGCUGCUAUAUUUUAUAUAUAUUUUUUAAUUGUUUCAUAAGAGGGGCCAUAUUUUUGUGAGUGUGUCCCAGCCGUGACAUAUCACGGUUACACUGAAAGCUACCACCUCUCCCCAGUGGCCCGUGAGCUAUCAGUGUCGGCGACUAAGCGACAGGGAGGAGUGACACCGGAACCCCCUCAUAUACGACCAACUAAUCCUUAUUAGAUUAUAAGAAAAUAACUAGAAAAAUAUCAUAAUAAUUUGUAAAGUAUAAUAUAAUUUUAUUACCAUUUUCAGAUUUAUUGGUGCCAUAAAAGUAUAAUUUAAACCUUUUAAUAUUUAUUUUUAAUUAUAUUUUUGAAAAAUUUUUUGCACUUAGCCUUCUUAAAUUUUUUUAUAAAUGAUUCCUGUAAAAUUAUUAUUACAAAAAUAAUUCUAAACAUGAUAAUUUAUUUACCGUAUUUUAGAAUAGGAUAAUUGGAUUAUCGCAUCCUCUUUAUUAUGUCUCGAUGGUUCUUUUAAAUUUUUUCAAGCAGCUAGUCAAAGAGAAUAUGGUAACUGGAAAAUUGUGCUUCAGAAUACGACAAGUAAACUACCUUGUUCACCUGGAUGUUAGAUUUGUUAUCUGGUUUCUUGUUGUUAGAUCUAUUGUGGAUCACAGCCACACUCAACUUAUUAGUUUUCAAGACCUACUGUCAUGGAGUACUUCUUUGCGAUUCAGAAUACAAUAAGUAAAUUAUCUUGUUCAUCUGAACAUUAGGUCUAUUAUUUGGUAUCUUCUUGUUAGGUCUAUUGUUGACCUCACUCAACUUAUUAGUUUUCUCGGUCUACUGUCAUAGAGUAGGAAGUACUUAACACUUGCAUUGUUAAUACAGUACGUGAGAAUCGAACUAGCGCCACUGGCUCUAAUACUAUUUUGUUGAUCGUAAAUGCUAACCAAUUAUCUCAAAAGUGCAUACUGAUAGAAAGGACAUACUCAUCGUAUUUAAGGGCUCAUCCAAAACGUUCAUAGGUUUCAACUUGAGUCAAAUCACUUGAAUGUUAGAUUUAUUGUUCGGCUCAUUCAACUCAACUUAUUACUUAGUUACGGGAUAGAAAAUUGAAUCUAUUUUAGGCAAUAAUAAAUAACCAACACAUUCUUGUUCGGUAUGAUAUUUGUUUGGACAAAAAGAUCACUGGGGACGAGGGGGGAGGGGAGGGGGAGGGUUGGGGGUGGGUGUAAAUAAGAGUAGUUUUAUGAAAUUUUAAAUAGUGGGGAACUAAUUAUAAUAAACUAAUUGUAAUAAGAUAUAUAUAAAUAUUAAGAUGGAACAGUACAAAAAAAGAUAAGGGUUAAUUGCAUACAGGUUCCCGCAAAUAUGGUGAAUUGCAGAUAUAUCCUUGCAAAGUUCAACUUUUAUAAGUUAUCUCUGCAAAAGUCCUAAUGUAUGUAUUCAGAUAUGUUCUUCUGGUUAGCAUCUAUUAGAGAAUUAUUUAUUUUUUAACAGUAGGUUCGUGAAAUGACAUUUUUACCCUCACAAAUAUGUCCCUCCAAAACCUCCGGCCGGUAUACGUUUGCAGAAAUACCCUCACAAAUCUUCCUUUUUCCUUUUCUCUUCCUUUUUGGGCUAUGAGAGCGGGCGGCUGCGGCGGCGGCGGAGCGGAGCUUGUCAGAGUUACGGCCGAUGAGGACAAGGCUGAGGCCCGCAUCGACGAGGCGGAGGGCGAAUGUGCGGCCGAUUCGAAAAAAGAGGAGGAAAAGGAAAAGAAAAAGGAAGAAGGAGGAGAAGAAGAGGAAGAAGAAGAAGAGGAAGAGAAAUAAGAUGAAGAUGAAGAGGAAGAAGAAGAAAGAUCAAAUUAUCAAUUUACUUUAUUAAUUAACCAUAGUUAAGUAUUUUAAUCGUGGUUAACUAAAUUUUUUUAACAGAUCCUAACGGCAGGGAUAUAUCUGAAUACAUUAAGACUUUUGUAGGGAUAACUUAUGAAAGUUGAAUUUUGCAAGAAUAUAUCUACAAUUCACCAUGUUUAUGGGGAUCUGAAUGUAAUUAACCCUUAUCUUUUUUUGUACUGUUCUAUCUUAAUAUUUAUAUAUAUUUUAUUACAAUUAGUUCCCCACUAUUUAAAAUUUCGUCCUACUCUUAAUUAUUUAUUAUUUAUAAUUAUUUAUAAUUUAUAAUUUAUUUUGUUAUUAAUUAAUUAAUUAAUUAUUAAUUAACUAAUUUAUAAUUUAUAAUUAUUAAUAAUUUAUUAUCUAAUUAAUUUUUUAUUAAUUAAUUAAUUUGUAAUUUAUAUUUAUAAUUUAUUAUUAUUUAAUUUAUUAUUUAUAAUUAACAAAAUAUUAAUUAAUUAGAUAAAAUAAUUUUACUUUAAAAUUAUAACUCUUAUUCCUUUUGUUCCAAUCUAACAAUCCAAAUACUAUUUACUUUAUUCCUAGGAACAAUCUAAUUUUCAUCCAAACAUAAAAUUUCAUCCAAACAUAAAAUUGGUCUAUUUCCUGCUUAUACCUGAACUUGUACCUAUCUCUGGAAUAAACAGUUCUUACUUAUAUCCGAACCAAAUGCAGCUUUAGAGUUAAAUUAUAUUAGCAAAUUAUUAAAAACAACCGUUAUUUCUAUACAAAUACUAUUUUACCCUUUCUUAUUUGCCUUUAUAUGGGCAAAAUAUAUGUUUUUUUUUCUUAUUUGUCCUUAAGUCAGGAAUAAAAGAGGUAUUUUAAUUUUUUUUAAUUCUGAGAAUUUAAUCCUUUGGGUAUAUAAAAUAUAUGAGAAAUAUAUUUGAAACAAAAAAAGAGUAUAAAAUAUUUCAAAGAUUUGACGAGUAUAUUGGUAAUUAUUAUUUUUUUUGAGAGAAAGAUAGCAUGCUAUCUGCUUCGUUUAUUUCAUUUAGAAAUAAACUUAGCUAGAAAUGUGAAUCAACUAGGAUCUCGUGUAUCAACCACCAAUUUCUUUGCCACUUGCGCUAGGGACGAUCGGUAAUUAUGUUUUUAAAAAAAGAAAAGUUAGAGACUAAUGUGACAAAAAGGAAAAGGUCAGUGACUUGGGAACUAAUGAUGCAAUUAACCCUUUUAAAACCCAUGGUUAAAGCUCAACAUAUCUCUCUCUCUCUCUGUUCCCAGAUCCCCACUAUAUAGUUUAAAAAGUACCAAAUCGAUCAAACGACGCGAGAAAAUGGCCAAAAAAAAUAAUAAUACUUAAUUAAAAAAAAGGAGCUAAGUACCUCCCUCACUCGCUCCGGCGCGAGAGCUAAUUAGAGAGAGAGAGAGGGAGCCACAUUGCCCUCUUCGAUCCCAUUCUCCGACAAAAAUGCCAAAAAAAAUCUCAUACGAGAUCGAAAAGAUCGUUCUAGAAGGUCGAUCCGAUCUUUUUUCUCCUUCAAAUUCGCUUUAACGGAGCUUUCGCGGCGAAAAAUGGCGAAGUGUACGCGUAGAUAGGCGAUGUGGUGAUCCAAGAGGCGGCGGAGGCGAUGAGGCGACGAUAGGAGCAAUGCGUGGUGGUUGAUGGCGCGAGAUCAGAUUCGGUAAGGGUUUUACCUACGCGGAUCCGAUUAUUAGGGCAAAAGAGUACUAAUCUCAAUCCGAUCUCGGAUUAAAUGCCAAAAUUUUGAGAGUAUUAGUACGGAUUUCGUUGUAUUAGAGCGUUGGAUCUCGAUCUCGGAGUGAGAGAGAUGUAUACUUGAGCUCCUUAAUUUGCAUGACGUAGAGGUGGUUGGUGAGAAAUUAGAUCGGUGGAUGCGAAAAACAACCCGAUGGUUUUGAGUAUUUAAAGCUGCGACUUUGGAAAUUUGCACUGGUUUAUUGUUGUGGGGGAUUGAAUCGAUGGAGUCGCGGAUGGAUCAGUAUGAGAUCAUGGAGCAGAUCGGCAGGGGAGCCUUCGGGGCUGCGAUUCUCGUGAAUCAUAAGCAGGAGAAAACGAAGUAAGUUUGAAUCGGGUUAUCCCGAUGUGUAGUUGUUAUCAUCCUCUACUUUUAGGUAUGAAAUUCUCGCUUCUCAAUAUCUUGGAGAUCAUUCGGAUUUCAGGUAUGUAUUAAAGAAGAUUCGACUUGCGAGGCAGACCGAACGCUGCAGAAGAUCUGCUCAUCAAGAGGUCAGUGAAAACGAACUCUUGCGAAUUUAGUUAGUAAAGAACAAUUUCUUAUGGUUCGUGUGGAGUUUGAUUGCAGAUGGCUCUCAUUGCUCGGCUCCAGCACCCUUUCAUCGUCGAGUUCAAGGAAGCUUGGGUGGAGAAGGUUUCAUCUUGUAUAGCUUGUUCGAUUUUUAUUUGCGCCUUUGUGGUUCUGUUUUUGUUGAAAUUUUGCUUUGAUUGUAGGGCUGCUAUGUUUGCAUUGUCACUGGAUACUGUGAAGGCGGGGAUAUGUGAGUGUCCUCCGGCAAUGUGGGCUUUCUUUUCUCUUUCCUUUCCAAUAAAUCGUGCAUUUUGCCUUACUAUGGAUUUUAUGGCAUCUAAUAGGGCUGAGCUGAUGAAGAGAUCAAAUGGAACGUACUUUCCUGAGGAGGUGGCACAAUGAAUUUUGUUGUUAUUGUUAUACAUUGGUGAAAAUUUUAUUAAUUGAUAAUGUGUUAAUAAUUGCUAAUGCUCUUCAGAAACUGUUGAAGUGGUUUGCUCAACUGUUGUUGGCUGUUGAGUACUUGCAUUCCAACUUUGUUUUGCAUCGAGAUCUUAAGGUGCGUGCCAAGAUUAGAAGUAAAACUUGUAUGCUUUUCUAUUUUUGAUAAUGUUUAUGUGAUUUGUUUUGCGUAUUUCCUGUAGUGCUCAAACAUAUUUCUGACCAAGGAUCAGGACGUUCGUCUUGGUUAGUUGCUCAUGAUCGGAAAUGUUUUUUACUUGAGGGAUGUUUGGUUGGUGGUAAAACUGAGCCAAAAAUUAUUUUCGGCUUGGAAAACAAAUUUCCAAGCAUUUGGUUGCUUGUAAAAUAGUUUUUUGCAUAAAAUACUUUCAUGGAUUUUGCGGAAAAACCUGUUUUUUAUUUUCUUCUCUAAAAGAUCGGAAAAUGAUAACGGAAGGGAAAAAAAUGCAGUGCUGUGGCUUGGAGUACUCACUCGGUCCACAGAUGCAUGCAAGGCCUCGUGGACCAUGUGAGCUGUGUAGCUCGGUUUUCCACAGAACCCAGCAUAAUAUAUAUUAAUGUUAUAUACAUAGUGCAAUAAGUACCAUCAUAUAUGCAUAAAGCAUGGUAUUAACUAUAUAAGUAAUAUAUACUUUAGCAAAAACUUAAAAUAUAUUUUUUUAUAUAAUAAAAAAUAAAAACGAAAAAAAUUAAUUUUUUAAAUUUUCUUUUCCUACAAACCAAACAUCAGAAAACACAACAUUUUUUUCCAUCGAAAACUCUUUUUUGUGAAAAAUUGUUUUCCGCGGUUUUACGUGCAACCAAACACCCCUUAUUCUUUUCGUUUCCUGCCUCAAUUUGAUAACACUUUGUUUUAAUUAUGUUGCAGGAGAUUUUGGGCUUGCUAAGACUUUAAAGGCAGAUGACUUAGCUUCCUCUGUAUGGUUUUCCUUUACUUUAUAACUACUAUUCUAAUUUUCCACCUUAUUAUCUUUCUCAUAGUUUUAAUUCUUUACGUAAGCAAUUAAGUAGUAUAUAUUCUUCUCAUGCAUACGAUUAUGAAAAAUACCAUUUGUUUCUCGAAAUAAAACCUUUGCGAAACUAUUGCUUGGCAUCAAUGAAUUUGAACAGCAUGAAAUUUUAUAGUACUUGCAUGCAUAUUUUCACAUCAGAAUAGGUUAUUUUGAUAUUAAAUACUGUGUUGAUACUCUCCCUUCUUGGUUUAAGUAAGUUUUUUCGUGUGCGGUUCUUGAGUAAGAUUUUAUAUUUAUAUUAAGCCCAUCACUACAUUGUUGAACUGUGAUUGCACAUGUCAUAAUAGGAAGCUGUCCUUUUAAAGUUGUCUAGUUUACUGUUUGGAUUUUAAACCCCUCAUUUUAAGAAGUAUCUGACAUGAAACUAUUGGAAUUUAUCCAGUUUCUGCUAAGGCAUUUUCCUUUUCUGUAUUGCUAUUUAUGCAGCAGUAAUAAUUAAUAGAAAUUGCCAAAAAUGGCAUUGUUUUGCCAUAAGUGUAGCAUAACUACCUAAUGAUGUCAGCUUAUUUAUAACCACCUUUAAUUAGUUAUACGUUCAUCAGGUUGCAUAAUGUUUGAUUACCUUGAUUGUUAAAUUAUGGUUGGUAUUACAUUUUUUUCUUUUUCAGGUUGUUGGAACUCCAAAUUACAUGUGUCCGGAGCUGCUUGCAGAUAUUCCCUAUGGAUUCAAGUCAGACAUUUGGUCUCUUGGUAGGAUAGCCUUUAAUUUUUUUUGCUUUUAAGUAUGCUUAGAAUUGAGAGUAACUAUUUAUCUUGUGUCUGCUUUGGUGUGACAGGAUGCUGUGUGUAUGAGAUGGCAGCUCAUCGGCCUGCUUUCAAAGCUUUUGUACGUCUCUGUCAUCUCCUUUCAGCUGCAUCAUUGUGGCAUAGCUAUGGCAUACUGCUACUAAUCGACAAUAAUACCUAAUUUUUCUCUCCUUCCAAAUUUGCUUGUCUCAUGCAACUUUGCAAGCUUAUAUAUACUAGUGACAUGUUAGUGUGUUGGUAAUCUACUCUAACAUAUGAAUGAUAAUGAGUUCAUUAACUACUCAAAUCGAGGUUUCUAUUUUUGAUCUGGGUCAAAGAGCUUCAUUUCUGGUGGUUUUGAACGUAUUGGCUGACAUAGCUUUGUAUUUCCAAUAUAGAUUGAAAAGUUUCCAGACUAAUAAGAAAAAUAGAAAGAAUCCAAAAUGUUGUAAUAAACCUUGAUUUGAUACCAUCUUGGUAUAUUAGACUGAUGUUCCAUUCUACUUGCAGUUUAUAAAAGAGACAAAAGAAUGACAAAUGAUAUGACAUAUAUCAGACAAAUUGUUGUUUUCUAUAAAUUAAUUUGGUCAAUUUGGGGCAACUUUUGUGUCUUCUUAAUAACCAUUCUAAUUGUUUUUGAAAUUUCAAUUUAUUUAGGACCUUAGAUUCAGAUCCAUUUUGGAGUUCCGCAGAAAACAUCAAAUCAUUCUGGGCAUGCUUAUAACAUAUGCUACUGUUUGCUGAAAUCAUUAAUUAACCUAUGAAAUUAUUACCUAAGUCUGUGGCUGCAACUUGUCACAAGAUAAAUUGAGGCCAUUAAGAACCAUUUUCUGAAGGUGGCUGCAGUUUGGGCUGACGGUCAAGUCAGUAGACAGUGCAUAUGUAAUAUAACUGUAUGUAUUUGGAUGCUUAUGCUGUUAGCUAUCCUGUCAUGCAACUGCUUGUGCAGUUUGCUAUCCUAAUUGUAAAACAAAAACUAUUUAAAGGAAAAUGUAUAAUGGAAAAUCAAAUUCAUAAUCAUAUCAGUGUAAUCUUUUCUUUCUUUUUUCUUCUAUUAUUUUAAUGUUCAGUUAAGACCAUUUGAAUGCUCUUUCUCAUUAGAAAGAAUUAAUAGAUAGAAGUUGUUGUCGAACUUUAUCAUUUACAUACAAUAGUUGAUCUACUUUUGUCUACCUAGAAUAUUGACACUAGUUGGCUUCCUUGUGUUCUUGUUGUGUCUCCAUGGGUCGUCGGUACACACGGUAUAUGACAGUCCGCAUAUGUAGUAGGUUUAUUCAGCAAUAGUUUAUAAAUGGAAUGGAACACAAAUGACAUAAGUUAUUAGAAAAAUCCCUUAUUCUGGAAAUAGCAAAAUCUUUUCUUUAGUUGGUAGAUAUGCUAGCGAAAAUAGAAAAAAGACAAAUAUGGAUUGUUUGUGAAUCAUAAAACUGUUUAAAUAUUGUUUUGUCUUGAUCAAGUACUAAGCUUCGGUAAUAUUAUGUUACUUGACAUAAUUUUUCACAUAUUCGUUUUCUUCUAACAUCCAUCCAUCUGGAAUAGAAAAAGCAGAUAAAAUUCAAAGUAUCUUACUAGGUUAGUCGAUAUAUUUAUCUGUAGAUUGAUGUGAGAUUCUAAUACCCCUUCUUUCCCUUUCAUUUGAUGUCAUACUACAGUUCUAAGUUGAGAAUAUGGUAUAUAAGGGCUCACUAUCGUAGUUAUGCUCCUCUCUCUCUCUCUCUCUCUGCUAAUGACAUUACUGAAGUUGUAUAGUGGAGCUUUACUGCUUGCUCUAUGGUCAUAGCUCUAGUUAUAGUUGGCUGCCGGGGUAGCUGAUAAGUUGCUUCCCCAUCUGUCAUAUUUUUGUAUAGUAACGAUAGUUGUCCUUUGCUCAUUUGCAACUUGGAGUGUAGAAGGAUGAAUUGCGGUGGGAGUAACAGUUCAUUUUUAUCUGCCCUCUUACUCUCUUUCUUGUUUCACCUAUUCAGUAAAAGGAAAAUGUAGGAUCCUCUUUGUUGGGCUUGUCUGUGCUUCCUAGAGCAUUUUCUAUACAGACUGAGCCAGAUUCCUUGUGUUUCAUGGAAUCGUUGUCUUAACGAGAAGACCCAUUUGUCAACAAUUGUGAUCCAAUACUUCUAUGCGUGAAAAUAAUUUCUAUAAUAUGCAACUAGGGUGUACUGCCCUCUUUUGUGACUCUAUAUCAUAGGUCUACAAAUUUGGACAUUAACAAAUGUAAAUCCGACAAUAUUUUUAUAUUUCUAGUAUACAAGGAAUUUUCUGUAUGCUGCACUUCCACUUUCCUUUUCAUAUUAAAAAUUUGUUAGACAUUCCUUGAUUAUAGUAAUGCCCAAUGUUGAUUUUAGGAUAUGGCUGGAUUAAUAAGUAAGAUAAAUCGAUCUUCCAUUGGUCCUUUACCUGCGUGCUAUUCUUCCUCCUUGUGAGUAUUCUUGCACCCUUAUAUUUAUUGCAUUGUGAUAAAUUGAUUGAAUUGUGUACUGUCCUAAAAUAGUACUUACUUUAUGGCAUGCCCUCCAUUUUGAUAUAUCAUCAUUUUUAGUGGUUUAAAGUUGUUAUCAUUGAUCUUAUUGACUUGAAAAAUUAAAUUCUGUGGCCUUUUGAACACAGUUUCCGAGUCUUUAACUGUGGUUAUUUUUUGACCAUGAGAAAUUGUAGUGCUUGGAUGCUGUGAUUUCCACUGGAAAAAAAAGGGAUAAAAAGAGGAAAAACUAGCUCAAGAUAAAAUUACUGUAAGGUGUAAUUAUAUUGACAAAAUUCUUCCUUCUAUUUCAUACAGGAAAACACUUAUCAAAAGCAUGUUGAGAAAGAACCCAGAGCAUCGGCCGAAUGUAUGCUUCCUCCUAACUUCUGCCAUUUGGAACGGUCUCCCUCAUGCGCUUACCAUGUGUAUCUAAUGUUUCUUAAAUUUAUAAACAGGCAUCUGAAAUAUUAAGACAUCCAUAUCUGCAACCUUAUGUGAAUCAAAACCGUCCGUUCCCUGACCCAUCACAUGGAAAGCCAUCGCCAGAGAAGUCCAUCCCCACUUCAAACAGUAGUCAGAUAAGCAUGUCCGAAAGUCAAAGCAGCAGCAUCUCCAGCAGUGACAAGGACAGCAUACAUUCUAGUGAGAGAAGCACAUCAGCUCUACCACCGAGUUCUGAUCACAAGUCAGUUGAGUCAAAAAGUGUUUUGACUAAUCAUGGAGUUCAGAAAGACACCACAAGUUCCAAACUAGAGAGACAAGAUUCAGCGAAAUGCAUACAUGUUGAUCAGCAACCAAAGACUGUUAAGAACAUAUUAAUGGCUUUUAAAGAGGAGAGCAAACCUAGAGAAAGCAGCUCACCUGCGAGAGCUAGUCGUCUAAAGAUGGGUGGUGCUCCUGGCAAUAAGAAUGUUCCGGAACCUUACCCUAAGGGCUCCAAACCCAUUAGUGCUACUUCCUCUAGUUCAAAGUCUAAUGAGGUGCUACCAGAUGAACCUGUCAAGACCAACUUUGACUUGGCCAAACAAGCGCAGGCAUGUAAUCCUGGAAAGCAUCUGGUAUGGGCCGAACUACAUAUUUACUGCUUCAAAGAUACUUAUUUGCAUGACUGUCUCUGCAAAAUCUGAACUUUAUGCCCUUUGGAAACCUAAUUUCUUACAUAUAUGCAUCCUUCUGCUUACAAAAAUAUUUUUGAAAAACAUUUUCUAGUACCAAACCAAAUUUUCCUCAUUAAUUGGAUGACUUCCUACUUAAAGAUGAGGCUUUGUUUUUUUAUUUAAAUUUUCAAUGUGUGUGUAACCACUGCACUUUUUGGGGUAUAUAUAUAUAUAUAUAUAUAUAUAUAUAUACACACGUAUAACUCAGUUGGUAUGCUUCUGAAAGCACCAAGGUCGUGAUGCUUUCCUUAGAUUUACCUUUUGGGCCAUUGGAUUAAAAGCGAACAAUGGUGAUUACUUGUGGAGCUCACCAUUAUGCAUGAUCCAAGGGCAGUUAGGGUUGAUCCAAUGGCCAAAAGGUUGUAGCUCCAACUCCUUGGUGCUUUUGAAAGCACCCUAGCCAGACUCACUCUCUCUCUCUCUCUCUCUCUCUCUCUCUCUCUCUCUCUCUCUAUAUAUAUAUAUAUAUAUAUAUAUAUAGAGUAGGGCUAGAAUACUUGUAAAAGUAUCAUGGGGGUGAUACUUGUGUGUUUUUAGCCCUUGGAUAGAGAGAUGUGAGGUUGAGAUGAUGGUGGUAGGUGGUGGUAGGUGGAAUAGUGUUUAAUCCAAGGGCUAUUAAUAAUCAAAAAGUAGAUCCAAUGGCUUAAAACCUAAUAGCACCAUGAUGGUGAUACUUGUAAAAGUAUCAUAGCUNAGCCUUUCAUUUGAUGCAGUUACCUAUUAUUGACACUUCUCCGAAAGUCAAGCCUAAAUAUGAUAUGGUAUCACCAACUGAACCUAUCAAACAUGUUGUGGCUGAUGGUAUCUCUGCUAAGACAAAGCAAAGACCUCCACCUUCUAGUAUUCAUAAAAGGCCGGCUAUUUCUGCCCAUAGACCAGCUGGUGCAGACAGCCCAAGCCCUCCAAAUACAGCAAUUACAAAACCAGUUCCCAUCAAGACGACUUCUGAGCGUGAGAAGAGUCCAUUCCCCCGUAGCCCCAACAACAUCAUCAGCCAAUCCCCAGAGCCUGAAAAGCCUUCUUUAACCCCUUCGGGAGUAAAACAUGCUGAAACAAGCAAUUCAGCUGUAAAACCUCUUCCUAUCAAGGAAUCUCUGCCUAUUGUGGCCAAGGAACAUAUGGGCAAGUCCGAGCAUACCAAUGAAGUUGGGCUUUCUGAGAUUUCAUCGUGCUCGUGUUCCCAGCCCCGGUCUCCUUCUGUAGAAGAGCGUGAUAUUAGACCUUCAUCCAGUCCAGAACCCAUUGCAGAGGUUCUUCAAAAGAGCACUAAUAGUAACGAUGAAAUGAGCUUGAGCUCCCUUCUAGAACCAUCAUUCCCGAACUCUGAUCAAGAAUUUGUUUGUAAAGAUGAUUUACCACUCAGUAAGCCGGAGCAGAACACCAUUGCUAUGCAAAGUGGUGGUGACGACAAGUUCACCGUUAGAGAAUUGCUCUCGUCCAUCACUGAUGUCGUCCCCUUUGUAGCAGCUGCUACGAAAAACACAGCAAUGGAGAAAGGAUCAAUCCCUAAUCAGGCAUUGGAGAAAACAGUGGCUCCUCAUCUAACCCCGGCUUUCGACGAUGUCAUACACGUCAUACGCCACAGCAGCUUCCGCGUUGGUAGCGAGCAGCAAACGGCUGUAGAGAGUGUCGAAAUGGGCGUCGCCAACAUGGAUGUGGGUAAGCUAUUGAAUGUGGUAAGAGAAGAUGUGGAUGUUAGAAGCAUUUCACCAAGUCUAAGACCCCCCACCAAUAUCAUCAAAGAAAAGCCAAACAGCUCAGAAAAUGUUAAUAAAUCAAACACAGUGGAAGUUAGGCCAAAUUCUUCUUCGGAGGCGAGUGGUGGACCGAAGGAAGAGGAAACUCCAGCUAAAGAAACUUUGGAUGUGAAAUCAUUUAGACAGAGAGCUGAGGCACUUGAGGGGUUGUUAGAGCUCUCUGCGGAACUGCUACAGCACAAUAGGCUUGAAGAGCUCGCCGUUGUUUUGAAGCCAUUCGGGAAGGAUAAGGUCUCUCCGAGAGAAACCGCAAUAUGGUUGGCGAAGAGCUUCAAAGGGAUGAUGAAUGAGGAAGCCGGCCGCGCUAUGUGAGAGUCCCUUUUUGCAGUUGUUUUAUUUACCCUCAUUCAUCUCUAAGAGAUUGUUACAGAUGCAUUAUUGCUUGUUGUGGAUCUGUGUCCUCCUUGUUUACCCUCCAGUUUCUUUUUUCUUUUCCUUCUAUUUCUCUUUUUCUUUGUAUUCUUUGCAGAGUAUGAUGUAAAUAGUCAGAUCUGUGAACAAAAUAAAGACUUGUUGAAACGGAUGGUGGAAGAAUUUACAUUAUCCACUUUAUGCGGGACGAGUAAGAUUAAUAUGAGUUAUAUAUGGUAUGUUUUUAUGAUAUUUUGAGAAACGUUCUUUGGUAUGAUAGGAUUCUUGUUAAACAGUGGUAGUAAUGUUCCUGAGAAUAGAAAUAAGCGAAGGGAACACUUGUUAAAUUGUUGCUUUUUUAGGAGAGCUUUUGCCUAGUCUUUUACCUUUUGUUUGGACGCAUGAAUAUCUUUGUCGGUAUAUCUUCUUAUUUAAGAAAUUUGAACAUAUUGGUAGAUGAGGAAUGUAAUUGGAUCUCUUGAAUUAAAUAUUAGGGAAAACUUCAAAAAGCCCCUCUGUGGUUUCACACUUUUUCAUUUUAGUACCCUAUGGUUUAAAUUGUAUCAAGUUAGUACCCUGUGGUUUCUCACUUUAUCACUUUAGUACCUUGUGGUUUAAAGUGUAUCAAAUUAGUACGUUGUGGUUUUGUACUUUAUCACUUUAGUACCCUGUGGUUUCACACUUUAUCACUUUAGUACCCUAUAGUUUAAAAGAUCACAGGGUACUAAUUUGAUACAAAAUCAAAACCAUAGGGUACUAAAGUGAUAAAAUGCAAAACUACGGGGUACUAACUUGAUACACUUUAAACCACAGGGUACUAAAGUGAUAAANAUGAAUAUCUUUGUCCGUAUAUCUUCUUAUUUACUUAAGAAAUUUGAACAUAUUGGUAGAUGAGGAAUGUAAUUGGAUCUCUUGAAUUAAAUAUUAUAUUUGUUCUUCAAAUUAUUUUUUCGGAUAAGAUAGAUUAUCUUGUAGGUAAAGUGUGCCAUCAUAUUAGAUUAUAGAUUACAACAGGAAGGAAAUUUUUUUUUCAUUCAAUUAUACUAAAUAUUUCGUAGCGAAUUAAUUAUUUUUAAAUAGUUUAUUUCGGCAUUCAAAUAUAACCUUAGGGUGUGUUUGGUUCAAAAUGGAAAAUGGAAUAAAAAUUAAAAUCGGAAUAGACAAGAAUCGGAAACAGAAUAAUAAAAUCUCUCAAUAUGUUUGGUUCAAAUAACAAUUGAAAUUAGUACGGUUGAUUCCUAUUUUCAAUAAUAAAAAUAAUUCAUUAUCAUAAAAUAAUUAAAAUAAAAUUAAAAUAUAAAAUAAAAAAUAAUUUAAAAUUAGGCUUGCACCUCAAUAUAUUAAAUUAAAUUUAUAAUUUAAAUUCAAACUAAAAGUUAAAUAUUAAAAAUUUACGUCAAAAUAUUGAAAUGAUAAGCCAAAGUUUAAAUAUAAUUUUUUAAUUUUUUAAUAUUUAAUAUUGAGUGGACAAUUCAAAAUAUAAAACUAAUUUUUGAUUUGAUUGAGAUUCUAACUUAUAAUUAAAUUUAAAUUUAAAUUUAUAGAUUGAAUUCAAAAUGCUUGAUUGAAUUUAUAUUUUAAUUAAUUUCUAAAUAAAAAUCUAGAAAUAAAAAUUUAAUUUCUAAAUUUAAAUUUAAUUUUUAAUUAAAAUUAAAUUCAAAAAAUUAAAUUAAUUUUAAAUAUAAAAUAUAUAGUAUAAUUGAGAUAUUUUUUUUUAAAGUGUAUUCUUUUUGUCUGGAUUCAACUUUCAAUCUGACCACCUAAACUGAAUUGAAAAAAGGGAUGUUUAGAAAAUUUUCAUUCACCCGAGAAUCGGAAUCGAAAUCGAACUCUGGCAUACUAAAUACUCACAAACGUUCAUUCCGAUUUCUAUUCCUGGAUAAAAAAUGGACGAACCAAAUACGCUCUAAGAUUAUAUCGGUUGGACUUGACAUAGGCCCUCAUAAGUGACAAUUUUCAAUUUUAAGUAAGAGCAGAUGGAAUAUUGACUUACAUAUUUAACUUAUUGAGAUAUGAAUGGGAACAAAAAUAUUAAACCUAAUGAAAAUUAUACUAUUCAACCAACCAUCCACUCAAUCCUAGGGGGCCCACAUUAUUCUAACCGCACAUCCCUUAAUCCAAAGGCCAAAAACUUACAAGCACCAAUGACUUGAUACUUUUAAAAGCAUUAGAGCUCAAUUCAUAUAUAUAUAUAUAUAUAUAUAUAUAUAAGUCCGGCUACUAUACUAUCGGUGCACGGGGCCUCCCGUGUUACCAAGUUAUUUUCGAUGAUGCGACUUCCAAAUUGACGAUCGGCUCCGUUAGAGUUGAUCUACACUAUUAAAAGUAUUUGGAAACUAAAUUUUCUUAUUUUUCGAUAUUUAUUAUUAUCAAACAAAUAGUCUAAAAUUGAACGGCUGAAAAUAAAAAUCUCAUAAAAAUGUAUGAUAAAAAAUUUAAAUUCAAGAUCAGAUAUACUGAUCUUACUCUAAAUAGUGAAAAGAAUUUUCCAUAAAUAUUUCAUCGGAUUUGGAUUGUUUUACACCGUUAAACUCACAAACGCGUCCACAUCAGCCAUUAAAAUGGUCAAUUUUGAGAUCUUUUGAUCACUAUGUCAAAUGAUGUCGAAAUUAUGAAAUUUAGUUUCAAAUACUUUUAAUAUGUGUAGAUAAGUUCUAACGAGCCGAUCGUCAUUUGGGAAGGCGCAUCAUCGAAAACAACUUGGUAGCACGGGAGGUCCCGUGGCUACGAUAGUAUAGCGCAGCUGACUCAUAUAUAUAUAUAUAUAUAUAUAUAUAUAUAUAUAAUAUUAUAUAUAUAUAUAUAUAUAUAUAUAUAUAUAUAUAAUAUAUAUAUAUAUAUAUAUAUAUUAAACAUAAUGAUCACAAUGUUUCUUCCACGUGGCAGAAAACACCUUCAUUCUUAGGUUAAUAAUAAUAUCUAUCUCUUAUUAUGAAUCCCCAAUAUAAAAUUUACGUUUUUCUCCACUUUAAAUGUGUAACCCUUCACCUCUCCAUAUUUAAUUACAUGCAUUAUAUUUCACCAUUAGUGAGAUUGUAACUCCAAUCCACUCCCCUCCACUAUUAAUCCUCACCUUCUAAAUGCUAUGCUAAACCAUUUAUCUUCCAUAUUUUAAUUGCAUGCAUCAUAUUCUAUCAAUUAGUGAGUUUUGUAAUUCCAAUCCACUCCCUUCCACCAUUAUCUCCACUUCUUUAAAUGCUCAACCCUUCACCUCUCCACAUUUAAUUACAUGCAUUAUAUUUCAUCGAUAGUGAGCUUUGUAACGCAACUACUCCCUCUACCAUUAAUCCCUCACCCCUCUUUCUUGCAUGACAUGUUAUUUUCAUGCAAAAAGAAACAUUAUCAUCUAAUCUCUCACCCCACACUCAUCUCUUCUCUCUAUCUCAUUAUGCUUAACAAAAUUAUGAGAUGAUAAAGAAGAAGAACAUGCGAAGAACGUUGUCUUCUUCAAAAUAUGAUCGUCCUGUAAAGUCCAGCCGCGGCCCAUAUAAAGUGCUCGCUGGCUGGUCUGACCGGAGCUGUCGUCGCGUGAACCGCCGGCCUCGGCUGCUUCCUGCACGGCUCGCACGCGCCAGCAACUAGGCGAGGGAGCGCCGUCCUAGCCUCCUCUUCAACGGCGACGUUUUGGCGGCGGAGCUCGCUUCUCCAGAAUCGUAGGAACUUCUUGGUAAAUCAAAUUGUUUAAGAAUAGAAUUUCUGUGGUGAUGUGAUGGCAAAGCUAUAUCGGUUUAAUAAUUCGCAGUUUGGUGAUGCAGCUGAGGUUUGUUCAUAGGUUACAUAGAAAUCCAGAAAUGACUCGGCGCGCGGAGCAACUCCAGCUGAAGAUUAAGAGAUGUAUGAGAUUUGGAUGAGUUAAGAGAAGUCUCCAAAAAAAUAUUAAUUUUUUUAAGAUGAUGUUUAUUUUAUUUUCAUAUUAUGAUCUUUUUUUUGAGUAGACACUGUUGUGGGCAAAUUUCUUUCGUAGAUUAAAAGUAUGAUGUGAGAUUGGAGCCUGAGACGCCAAUCAAAAUUUCUUAAGCCAGAUACGUUAAGUUAUUAUUUAUGUAUUUCAUAUGCUUCUAGCUAUUAUUUUAUUUUUUAAUAACUAAUUUAGUCAUGCAAAUGACUGUGCUUAAAUUGAUAUAGCUUUUAUAAAGCUGUAAAUAUAAAUUUUAUUAAAAUAUUAAAAUUUAUUUUUUAUAUCUACCCGCUGCAUCGCGCGGGUCUCUACACUAGUAUAUAUAUAUUUAUAUAUAGUAUAUAUUAGCAUUGAGCUCCUAUGCUUUUUAACGUACCAAGUUAUUGGUGCUUGUAGAUUUUUAGUCCAUUUGAUUAAAGAUAUGCGGUUAGGAUGAUGUGGGCCCUCUAGGGUUGAGUGGGUGGUUGGUUGAAUAGUAUAAUCUAAUGAUCGAAAAUGAUCUGAGGAGUAGAUCUAACGGUGAAAAACUUACAAGCACCAAAUGCUUGGUGCUUUUACAAGCACCAUUAGCGGACUUCUCUCUCUCUAUAUAUAUAUUAUAUAUAGUCUAGUGCGUUCUAUACUAUCGGUGCACGGGCAUCCCCGUGCUACCAAGUGUUUUCGAUGAUGCGGCUUCAAAUCGACGAUCGCUCCGUUAGAUUGAUCUACACUAUUAAAAAUAUUUGAAUUAAAUUUCAUAAUUUUUCGAACAUCAUUUGACUAGUGAUCAAAAGAUCUCAAAAUU